CGCCGUCAUGGCUACAGAGGUUGGAGCUCCUGCACCAGGACCCGCCGCAAGCGGAGCCUCCGUAGCCGUACCGGCUCUUGGCUCAUUGGUUGGAGCUUCCCUUGUGUCUCUCUUCACCUACUACUUAAACUAAAUUAAUCUUAUACAAAAAAAUUGAUGCCCAUGUCUGAUUUUGUACGUGUUUAGACAGGCAAAGUGAAUAAGACGGAAGACGAAUACUUUUGAUUAUGGUCAGAUAAACUUUAUGUAAUGCUGAUUAAUAAAUAUACGUUCUUCUCUUCCUUUUGUCCAUAUUAUACGCCAUUUUAGGCACCAUCAUUCGUUUCUGUAAUAAUUUGCAUGCAAAAAUCACAACUCAACAUAAAAGCAUAAUACUGAUAAUAGACAGCAUGAUGGACAUCUUAUUGGAUGCUAUAUCAAUCGAAUUAGCUGGUUAGUAGCUAAAAUUAUAUGCGUAAGAAAUAUUUCAAUCACAAUCAUUCGCUACUCAACAUCCAUACUGAUACAACGUAACGUAGUGUUAUAUUUCGUCUGUGGAUUCUUAACGUUAUCUUAUUUAGCUAUAUGCAUUAUCUUCUAGAAGGGUAUACUCAAUAUUUCCUUUUUUAUCCGAGCUACAUAUUUCCUUUUUUUUAUCCGAGCUCAAUAUUUCCUUUUUUUCUCAACAAAUCAUAUUAGGAUUUCAUUUUCCUUUCUGACCAGUAUCAGGGUUUAUAAAUACUACAUUGCACUACUAAGAUCAUAUACAGAAACAAACCAUCAAUAUUGAUCACAGCAGCAAGGUCAAUAGCGAGACAAUGCGAUCUAACAGAAAGAAACCAAAGAAUGAUCAGACCAAACCAGAGAUGAAGUUCAUCAAGUCUCUCGGAAAGGGUACGUACGGCUCCGUAGAUCUCUUCAGUUACACCAAAGGCGACGGCUCAACGUUCUACAACGCCGUGAAGAUCUCUGAUUCCAAAUACUACAACUCUAUCAACAGAGAGUUCAAGGUCCUUUCGAAACUCAGAGGAUGUCAAGGAAUCGUGCAAUCUUUUGGUAACUCACUGCUUCAAGAAACCGAUUCUGAUGGAAAGAAAGUCUACAAGAUGGCUAUAGAGUACGCAGCUGGUGGUAACCUAACCGACUUCAUCCGAAUAAACCGAAAGUUAUCGGACACGUUCGUUAAAGACUUCACUCGGAUGCUUCUCCAAGGGUUAGCGUCGGUACAUGACCACGGUUAUGUACAUUGCGAUCUUAAACCGGAGAAUCUCCUUCUCUUCCCGCGUCACGAUCAAGAAACGCGGUUUUGCUCGUACGAGUUAAAGAUUUCGGAUUUUGGAUUGACGAUAAAGGCAGGAGAGGAGUCUGUCUGUUGGGAAACCAAAUCUCCGUUUGUCGGAACGCCGUUAUACAUGUCUCCGGAGUCGGUACAUGACGGUACCGCCGUGGAGAAAACCCUAGACUUGUGGUCGUUAGGUUGCGUGGUGUUGGAGAUGUGUGUAGGUAAGCAUCCGUGGUCAGGGUUUAGUGUUGAUGAUAUAAAGUCUCGUUUGUUGUGUGGGAAGGCGCCAGAGAUUCCAGAGACUGUGCCUUGUGACGCAAGGAAGUUUGUGGAGAAGUGUUUUGCAAGAAAGGCUGAAGAGAGGGGAAGUGCUUCUGAGCUGUUGUUGCAUCCGUUUUUGGUCGGAGAGAGGAAGGUGGAUGGUGCCGGCGGCGGCGGCGGAGGAGAGAGGAGGCGGGUGGGGUUGAGGAUCAGAAAACCACCGGAGAGGUUUGACGAUAUUGCAAAGAAGCCAUUGAAAUUGAAGAUUAUCUCGUCUAAGUCCUCGCAGUUUAAGAGAGUUUCGAAUAAACCCCAAAAGGUUAAGAUUGGUCGUUCUAGACACCCAAAAUCUAAUUUUGCUCCCGUGCAGUAGUUUCCUGAAAUUAAAAGUACCGCUGUUACUCUGUCAAAAAUGUUAAUUUUGGCAAUUAUCAAAUUGUAUGCUAUAUGAAAAUCGAUAAUGCAUAUAUUUCCAGUUUUUCGAAAAUUUAUGUCUAGUUAAUGUUAAUGCUCAAUAUAUUUCCUCAAAUGUUUGGGCCGAAACAUAAGGCCUGUUGAAGAAUUGGCCCAUCGAGAAGCUUAGUGGUAGAAUCACCAACAUGAAAUUAAGGAAGAACUUCUUUUGGUUAAUAAUAGGUUUAAGUAGCUAGCCAAUGUAUAUUUUUAGCAACGAAAAAUGAGAUAUAUUUAUGUAUACAUGACUCAUUUUGACGCACGAGGGUUCUAAUAUUAAAAAUCAAAUCAUUGUAAGAGUUUAUGUUUCCUUCUUGAAAUUUGUUUGUUUUAGACAAGAAAAUUGACAAGAGCGUCGGAGACAUAUCACAUAUAUAAUGUAGAGAAAGUUCCCCACAUACAUUGUUAAACCAUUAUCUGAAAAGAUGCUUUCACUAUAUUUUAUAUGUAGUUAUGUAUAUAUAGGAAUAUUCAUAAAUGGUGGUCCAAAUAAAAGAAACAAGACCCAUAUGAGUUUCAGACAAUAAUGAUAAUCACAAACCUACCAAAAGCUUUAGAUCUCCCAAAAGCUAUAAUAAUCCACAUUUCACAUUUGUAUGUAUGUUCAUAUUGACAUUUCACUUACAUAGACAGAGCUGAGAGACCCAUUCUCUCAAAUGUUGUUGUCACUGCCGAUACAGAAAUCUUACUCAUUCAAUCAUGUUUUUUUAACCUAACGCUUAUUUUUAACUCUCUUCUUUAUACUAAAUAUUUAUUCACAUUAUUUUUUAUCCGACUCUCUUACACGUUCUGAAACUAACGACUAUAUAAAUUUCAAACAAUAAGACAUGCAAUUUUAAACGUUAUCAUAUAUAGGAGUUCUAAGGACACGAGUGAGAGUAAAGCUAGGCUGAUACGUUUUUCUAUGCCGAAUUUAGAAAAAUUAUGUUGAUUAUUGCUGAUUUGUAGAACAUUGGUGUUUAGUUUUAAACUCACUAAGAUUGUUCAUAUAUAUGGUUUUGCGUUAAAUUUUCUAAUCUUAUGGAAAGGUAUGAUAGUUUAGUAAAAACAGUCCUCUUUAAGUUGUAAAUGCCUUCACUUUCAACUUUUCAGUUCAAAAAAAAAAGUUGUAAAUGUGUAAUGAACAUUAUACCAUGGGUAUUAAUUGAUCGUGGCAUUAUUGUAUUAAAAAAAACUAAUAAUGAGUUUGGUGAAUUCGAUGAAGUGGUGACUUAUAGAAUAGAUGGUUUAACACUGAAAGAGACCGGUGAGGUCUUCAUGUUGUUUUUAACUCCACUUGCAUUUGUUCUAUAGCUUUUAAUUUUGGGCUUCCUAUAUAUCAUUCUUAUUUUCUGUAUUCUUCUUGUGCACAAAAAAAAACUGUAUUCUUCUACUUAAAAUAAAAUAUCUUUCACCAUGUAUUUUCUAUAUUACUUUGAAGUUCGGUCCUUAUAUAUAGCUAAACAUUGUGAUGUCACAUACAAAGGGAAAGGACAAGAUAUGCUUGUCCCUCAAAAUCUAGACUCUUUUUCUCAUCUUCUAUAUUUAUGAUCUUUAUUUAUUACUGGCCACACAAUUCACCAAUUUUCUUCUGAGAAAACAAUAAUAAAUUAGAGGGAAUUUGCUACAUAUAUAUAUAUAUGUAAAUAAGAGGAUAUAAGAGUGGAAGAGUUGAAUCCAAGAAAUGGAUGUGAAGGCAAGAAAGUGAGAGAUAUGGUCCCCUCAACAAAGGCCAUUAAAUCUCUGAGCAUAUGACUGUGACUUUAAUGGCAAAGCAAAGAGGUUUGCAAUUGCAUGAUUCAACGAAGAGUUGCUGUUAGGGCUUGGGAGAUUUGUGGGCUUUUAAGUGCAUGUUUUUUGUGGGGUUCAAAUGCCAUUCAUGGGACCCGAUUACAUUUUCUUAGAUUACUAGUCUAUGGUUGUGUUUUUUUGAAAACCUUUUUUUUCUUGAAGAAUUUUCUAUUGCAUGAGCUUUAAAAUGAUUAUAUAUAGGCUAAUAUUGUGGAUACUGAUUAAGACUUGGGCUCAAACAAACUAUACAGAUCCAAAUAUUUUUCACAAUCUUCGACCGUCCUCGGUACACAUUAUUUUAAAAUACAUAUUCUAGGUUGUAAAGAGUGUUUUCCUUAUUAUAGAAUAAUAAAAUAGUUCUAGAAAAUACGUUAAACAUUUUUUUAUAAAUUAAUAUUGUUUAAUGUAAACUUAAAGCGCUUGAAUCACUUAUGAUGAUUUACCAGGGAUAUAAUUCGUCGAUAUAGUUUUGAAAAUUUAAAUUGGAUGUUAGGUUUAUUUGUGGAAAAUAAAGACAUGUGGACUCCUCAUGCGAAGUCCAAAAUCUGCAAAAUUAUGUAUGUAAAAUAAUGUACUUUGGGACCAGUACUUGGCAUGGACAUUACCAUAGUUGAAUUAAUUUCCGUUCUUACAAUACGUUUUGAUUAGUCAUACAUCACAUACACAUUUUGUGAAUCGGUGAAUUUGUGCAAUGAAGUCACUCUAAAACAACCAGUGUAGGGUAAUCCUUCUGAAGCAAUUUUGAAGAUAGGAACAAUUUUUUCUUAGUUGAAAAAUCUAUAAAUGAUGCUUUUUUUCUUUUAUAAGAGAAUAGUUUCAUAUGUUGACCAAAAAGGAAUAGUUGAGCUAUCAACAAAUGGAUGAUCCAUAUUGGAGUGUAUAGAACAACGAGAAAUGAUACAUAUGCCAUUAAACAAUAUAAUUUUCUUUAUGAAAAAACGUGUAAUAUUUAUGUGUUCUUUUCUGGGAUAAUCGUUCAUCUCUUUUCAUCAAGCAAAUAUCAAAACUAGUAACAAACUUUGUUUUGUCAACUAACAAUAUUAUUAGAUUAAAAAUCAAACUAAUGGGAUUAAAGUUGGAUCUUCUUACAAAAUAUCAAAAUAAUUUUUCUUAAAAAAGUAUCGAAAUUUAUUGUGUAGAUACAUAAAGGUAAUACAUAGUUCAAAAUAAAGAAGACGUGGAUCAAAUCUUGCCGGAUGAUCGAGUUGGUAAGUAUCAUCAAUAAUAGAUUACAUUGAUGAUGGUAUGGUGAGAACUCUACAAACAAAGGUUCAAUAUUAUGUUUAAUUAUCUGGUGAUGACUGAUGACAUAGACUAGUUGAUUAAUUAUUAGCAUCAUUCAAUGAUCAUGCAUGUCCAAGGACCACCUCUCUCUCUUUCUUGUAAGAUUAUCUUUUCACCAGUCGGGCAAAACAUCCAAGAGAGUAAAAAUCUGGUCCUUGAGAGAGAGAGAGAGAGCUAUCUUUAAAUAGGUCUCUCUCUUAUCUCUAGUCUACUAGUAGUAAAAUUCAUGUACUUAAUACGUAGACAUAAUAACCAAAUAGCUAGGUUCAUGGUGUAAAAGAGUACAUACCUAACUUCACCGUGGUUACCUACGAACUCUUACUCUAUAUAGUUCACAUCCCAUUAGUUAUAUAUUAGUUAAUUAGUUUUGAGUUAAACUUAAAUUAAAAUUAGAAGUACAUAAUUAAGGAAUCAAGGGUGGUAGGUAUCUAAUGUGUAUAUAUAAUAGAUCUUUUACAUGUUCCAAAGAUUAUUUUGAACUAUUUUUAUUUCUUUCUGAUUUUUAUGUAUACAAAACUAGCAUUUUAAAUUCUUUAAAGAACAUGUAAAAAUCCUUUAAAGAACAAAACAAAUACUACUAUACAUGCGAGAGUAAUGUGAAUCACUUGGGUGGAUAAAAGUAAAAUUGUGAUAUAUAUACCCACGGGAAAUAUAACAAUUAAUUACCUUAAAAAGAAUUUUAGAAAACCUCUUUAUAUUAAUGCAAAACCUCAUCUCUUGUCUUCCUGUCUCUGAAACAGCCAACCUCUCAAACUCAUUCAUUCCUCACUCUCUUUCUUCCAUGGACGAAACAAAUGGACGAAGAGAAACUCACGAUUUCAUGAACGUCAACGUUGAAUCUUUCUCUCAGCUUCCUUUCAUCCGCCGUACUCCUCCCAAAGAAAAAAGCUCCAUUAUUCGUCUCUUCGGCCAAGAACUCGUCGGAGACAACUCCUCCGAUGCUCAACAGGAAGACUUCUAUGUAGAUUCUUCCGAAACCACAACGACCAAGAUCAACGAAGAGAGCUCUGAGAAUGUCAAGGACAAGGACAAAGACAAGGAGAAAGACAACAGCAAUAACAGGAGAUUCGAGUGUCACUACUGUUUCAGAAACUUUCCAACUUCUCAAGCCCUAGGUGGACACCAAAACGCUCACAAACGCGAACGUCAACACGCCAAACGCGGUUCUAUGCCAUCAUACCUUCAUCAUGCUGACCAUCACCACGUCUACGGCUUCCUCAACAACCAUCACCACCGUCACUAUCCCACGUGGACGACGGAAGCUAGAUUCUACGGUGGUGGAGUAGGAGGAAACCAAACGCCGUCGUAUUACUCACGCACUCUUCUUCCUCCUCCUUCUUCUUCUAACCCACCGAUGAUCAAUGGAAGUCCUUUGGGUUUGUGGCGUGUACCACCACCUUCCACGUCAGCAAACGCUAUUCAUGGCGUUUACUCAGCUUCACCAGCGUUUCAAACGCAUGAGCAGGAGCGUAAAGAGUCGAAGUGGCCGUACAGAUUGAUGAAACCUAAUGUGCAGGAUCAUGUGAGUCUCGAUCUUCAUCUUUGACACUUUGUUUUUGGUAUCCAUCAUCACUUUAACUUAGCCGUGAUGAGUCUUGUUUGAACGGUAAAGCCUAUUCUUCUGUGAGUUUUAGAGAGAAAAAAAGAAUACAAACUAAGGAGAACUUUUGUCAAAAAAACUAAGGAGAACCAACAUAAUGCGUAGAUCUUGAACCUUUGAGGAAUUUUCAGUUUUGAGUUUAUAUUGUUAUGAUUAUUAUUAAGGAAUAAUAUUUGAUUUAAUUAGUAUAAUUUAUUCAUGCAUUUUCCUCUGAAUCAGUGUUCAAGAAAGCGAUAAUUAAUGGGCGUUGAUACAACACCUAACAUCUAAAAAGUUUAAUCGGAAGCUUAAAUUAUUACUUAACCGGUAUGAAUGUUUACAAAUUAUAAUAAUAUAUUCAUUCUGUUUUCAAAAGUAAAAUUUUCUAAAAUGUUCACGAUUAUUAAAAAUUCAAUAAAUAUUUAUUAUUUAAUUUUUUUUUACUUUAUUAUACACUUUCCAAUAAUUUUUCACCAAUAAAAUUUAAUCAAUUUAAAUAUUUUUAUUUAAUUUUUCUUAAAAAUAUAAAAAAGUAUUUUAAACAUAUAAAAAAUCUAUUUUUGUGGAACAAGUAAAAAUCUAAAAGGAACGGAAUGAGUACUAAAUAUAACAGUAUAGUAUAAAAAUAUUUGAACGAUGGUCUGAAUAAUACAUUUAUCCCAAAAUAAAUCAUCAUUUCAUUUCUGAAUUCUGUUAUAUGGCUUCAAGAUUCUAAAUAGGAACAUUAAAUUAAGUGUCGUGGAAGUCAUACAUAAGCUCCUACUUUCUCUGUUGUAGCAGUCAAGAAAAUUCAAGUCUCGAUCAAUAUGUGUCAUUAAGUCAAAUUUGUAUGUCUUUUAAAACAAUUAAAACCCUCAAAUCUCUUUAGAUCCAAACGUUCAGUCUAUGUUUUACCAAACGGUCUUUUACCGAAUCAAGAGCCAAAGAAGAAAGCUCUUGAUGUUGAUGAUGUUGAUGAUGAUGAAUGAUUCGGUGACUGUGGGGAUCACUGAAGACAAUGGACAAGACAAGAGGGGGGAGAGAGAGAAAGAGAGUUGAGAAGUGAAAGUGGUCCAUGUUACAAAUGUAGAGUUAGCCAAAGAGAGCUUUCACAUCUCAACACACAGAACCUAAAGCCUUUCCUCAAAAGAUUUCUUCUUUAGUUUCUUUUCAGACUUUUUUGGGGCAUUUCAAAGAGAAUUAUCAAUCAAGCUGUCUACCAAUAUAGUUACUUGUUCAUACUCUACACAUACACCAUGAUCAUUAACUUGAAAGAACAUGACCAUGUUUCUUGCUAGUAGCCUCCAGAGAAUAGAGUUUGAUAGAAGCACAUACACCUUUACAGUAACAAAGGCCUAGAAGAAUCAUAAGUUUUUUUUUUUUUUUUUUUUUUUUGAAGAAUCAUAAGUUAUUAAUCUCAUAUCUCCUUAGAAGAAGCAAUGAUAUCAAUCAUCGUACCUAACAUUGGCCUUUAUGUGUUACUCUAAUCAAAACAUUAAAGACAACCGUAUGCACCUAUGACUUUUGCUUUAGAUAAAAGCUAGAGUUUUCUAGUUUUGGCAUGUCUUCAGUCACCGAUUGCCUCGCACCAUAUUUAGAAGAUAAAAAUCAACAACUAAUGAUAUGCUUGUUUGCAUUAUAAUUACCAACUGGUGCAUAUCAUACCAAAGCUAACCGAUAUAUAAAGGCUAAAAGACAGAUAAUAUCACUUGAUCACCUCUUCUAGGAAAGGAUAUGAAAAGGGUAAUUACCCCACAAACGACAAGUUUAUAUAUUAUUGAGGCUAAAAUGCAGUUUAAUUAGAAGUCUAUUAUAUACAACAACUGUGAUUGAUUAAUAUGUCUUUAAUAUGGUAAGCUUAAUUCUCUAAUUAAUUAUAUCAUAAAAAGUUGUAGCAAUCACGAUUGGUAAUAUCUAACUAACUAGGAUAAGACCCGCGCCUUGCGCGGGAUUAAGUUAUUAUUUUUAUUAUAUUUUGGAGAAUGAAACAAUAGUUUGGCUUCAUUUGGAUUACGGGUGUUCAAUCCGGAUAUCGGGUUGGUUUCGGUUCGGUUCGGUUUUUUUUUGAUAUUUGGUUAGUAAAAUAUUACUACUAUUCUAAAUCCAUAUUUACUUUGACUUUAGUCUUUCACAUACUUUUGAAAGAUUUCAACUGGACGACUAAAUUGAUCAGCCAAUCUUGUUGAUUUAAAUCAUUAGUGUUUAUAUAUAUAUAUAUAUAUAUAUUAUUUAGUUUGAAUAUUUAUUAAAUAAAAAUUCAUAUGCGUUAUAUUUUAUGAUCAUUUGUAACUUAUUAUAACAAAAAAAUAAUCUAUUGAUCACAAAAUUUUCAGAGUGGGAAUAUUCAAAUUUCUAAUAAUAUAUAGACGUUUUGAAAAAUUUAAAUAUAACAUAUAAGAAAAAAUAUAAAUGUUUUUGUUAUAUAUUUAAUGUGAUUUUUUAAUAUCUUUCAAUAAUAUAAAAUUAAAAAAAAAAAAAGAACUAAGAUACCAAAAUUGUUAUCAAAUAUUUAUUAUUCAUAAUAAUUAAUUUUCAUAUAUACGUUAAUCAUAUUAGGUAAUUUCGUAGUUUCUAAUUAAGGAAAGUGCAAAAAAAAAUUUGGUAGAUUAUUUAUCAAUUCGAUAGUUAGUUUAAUAAAAAAUAUAAUGUAAGUCAAGAUGGACCAACCUAGUUUUCUAAGAAUAGUAUAUUUUAUAUAGUCAUUUAUUAAAUGAGAAUUUAUAAUCAUACAGUUCUAUGAUCAUUCAUAUCAUUUUAUAACUGAAUAUUUAAAUCAUUGAUAACAAAAUUUUCAAUGUGAAAUCUUUAAUAAGUUUAUAAUUUAUAAAUGUUUUUGAAAAUUCAUUGAAAGUUUUAAUAUUAAAAUAUUUAUGUAAUCUUAUGGUAUAUAGUAUAAUAUAUAUAUAUAUAUAUAAAUAUAUAUGUUUUACUAUUAAAUGAUAUUUUUUACUCAUAUGGUUUUAAAAUAAUGUGUAUCUUCUUAUAAUAUUAAAUAAAAGUUCAUAUUAAUACAAUUUUAUGAUCAUUUAUAACUUAUUAUGACAAAAAAAAUAAUCUAUUGAUCACAAAAUUUUCAGAGUGGGGAUCUUCAAAUUUCUAAUAAUUUAUAGACGUUUUGAAAAAUUCAAAAUAUAACAUAUAAGAAAAAUUAUAAAUGUUUUUAUUAUAUAUUUAAUGUGAUUUUUAAAUAUAUUUUAAUAAUAUAUAAUUAAAAAAGAACUAAGAUACAAAAAUUGUUAUCAAAUAUUUAUUAUUCAUUAUAAUUAAUUUUCACAUAUACGUUAAUCAUAUUAGGUAUCGUAGCUUUUAUUUAAGGAAAGUGCAAAACAUUUUUUGGUACGCUAUUUAUCAAUUCGAUAGUUAGUUUAAUAAAAAGUGUAAUAUAAGUUAAGAUGGACCAACCUAUUUUUCUAGGAAUAGUAUAUUUUGUAUAGUUAUUUAUUAAAUAAGAAUUUAUAAUCAUAUGGUUCUAUGAUCGUUCAUAUCGUUUUAUAACAAAAUAUUUAAAUCAUCGAUAACAAAAUUUUCAAUCUGAAAUCUUUAAUAAGUUUAUAAUUUAUAAAUGUUCUUGAAAAUUCAUUGAAAGUUUUAAUAUUAAAAUAUUUAUGUAAUCUUAUGGUAUAUAGUGUUUAAUAUAUAUAUAUAUAUUUAUUUUAUUAUUAAAUGAUAUUUUUUACUCAUAUGGUUUUAAAAUCAUGUGUAUCUUCUUAUAAUAAAAAUGUUAAACCAUUGAUCAUUAAUUUUUAACAUAAUAAUUUUAAUAGUUUUAGUCAUUUAUUGUCGUUUUUAAAAAUUCAAAAUAUAACAUAUACGAAAAAAUUUAAAUUUUAUUUUUAUAGCUAAUUUGAUUGUUUAAUUUAUUUUAAUAAUAUAAAAUUAAACAAAAAAUGAUGGAGGAGAUAUACAUUGUUAUCAAAUCUUUAUUAUUAAACUCAUUAAUUGUCAUAUAUAUAUUAGUCAUUUAUGGUAAUUCUGUAGGUUUUAUUUAAGGAAAGAAAAUAUCAUAUCAUAUCAUUAUAUCAUAUAGUUUGACCAACUUAUGUAUCUAACAACAUAUAAAAAUCGAAUGUGGACCUACUUAUUUUUCAAUUGAAUGUAAUUGACUACCUAAUUGAAUGCCACCUAUGCAUUGGGGUCUUUUUUAGUUAAUUCAAAAUUAAGGUUACAUCUUUUCAAAUGUUCCUCAAUUAAUAUAUAAGGGAUUAAGUAAGUUAUACAACCAAUCCUAUAGUCUAUAAACAUAUUGUUGUGAUAACAAAUGACCAAACUCAGCCCGUCAAAAGAUUUUACAGCCAAGUCUUAUGGAUUGUUUUUGAACAAACUGGUUGCAGCAUCACAUGGGGAAAAAGACAGAUAUGCCCUAGUCGAGACAGUUGUUUGGAUAACAAAGCUGCAGAGAGUCUAAACCAGAGAACACAGUACAUCUGAGAAUUACGUGAUGGUUUUAUCAAAUUAUGGAAAUUUAAGGAUAUAUGGUGUCAAAGAGUUAACAUAUCAAGAGCAGCUAGAGAAGGACCCCACCAAAGUUAAUGCAAUGUAGAAGGGAAAGCAUGUGAUGAACAAAAUGAUAAAAGAAGCACAUAAUAAAGACGUGUGAAGAGCAUACACAUACAUUAUGUAAAAACCUUAGGACCACUUUUUCUCUGCUCACUUGUCUCUUUUUUAGAUAUGUAAAAAGGACUAGUGGAAUUUAAGGAACAUCGGCCCACAACCCUAGGAAAGUUGCAACUUGAGGAUGAUGAUAGUUCUAACUGUACACAUCUCAAAACACCCCUUUCAGAAUAGAACUCACAUUCUGAGGAUACACAAACGAUGCAAGCUUCCAAAAUGGUGGCCUUGUUUUGGUAACCAAAGCUAACAUAAAGUUACACCGACCCUAUCUAUCCAGACCAUGUGGUUAGUCCUUUAGACUCUGGUUGCUUAUUACUAUACUAAUUUUCAAAAAUAUGAUGUUAUGUAAGGAUUCAAGGAAAACGUAUUAAAAUUUAUGAAUUUGGAUUAAUAUGUACAAAAUAGCCACUGAGAAGACACUAUUCAUGUAGUUACAUGACUGCUUGUAAAAUGAACCAGGAAGAUAUUGUUAAUAAUCAUUGUAAUAGUUACAUUAUAUGACUUGAUAAGCUGCUCAGCCAGGCUAGUAGAAUAGAUUCUUGUUUAUCUGUGCUGAUUUCAUUUUACCUAUUCUUUCAGAGUUCGAGAGAGGUAAUAUUCUUCGAUAUGGCGGGUGAGCAUAGAGAUCCCAUAAUGUGAAGCACUUGAAGAUGCAUAAUACGAGGUAACUGUCAGCUGAUCGAAUAUUGUUACAAGAUCAAAAACUUCAGGUGCUUUCUUGAAAGAAAACAUACAGAUGCAUAUACAUAAUACAUGAGAACUCAUGGACAUAACACUUCUUUGGGGUAAAUAUAAAACAGAGAACUCCAACAGCUAAUUAUAAUCACACAGGUUCAAACACACAGCCCUUUCACAAUAUUUCAGGACAAUGGGGCAUGCAUUUAAUCACUAACGCAGGAUAUAUUGAUAAUGCACAUUUAGGCACAAAGUGAAGCAAGUCACCAAAGAAGAUCAUGUUACCUCCAAAGGCAGCCCCUACACCUGAAUAUCCUAACAGCAAUGGAACCUACAAGUAAAAGCUAUAAGUGAGAAGCAAAAGAACAAUCAUAUGAAGAAGUACAGAACUAGGAGACAAGGCAAGAGCAAAUGCAUACCCCCACAAGAAAGGAGAGCCGCUUUGGCCCAGGAAACCGAUUUUGAAGAUAGGGUAUCCCUGAAAGACAAAAGAAACGAGAUCCAUGACAUUGUAGAAAUGAUUUGAUAACAAGGGAAUCAUGUGAUACCUGUAUUGAAAGCAUGGACGGCACUAAGCAAGCCACCAAUACCAGAACCAGCCUAUUGCACAUUGGAUAACCUAGUUAGAAACAUAGUAGCUCUACAUGCACAACAAUCAAAUAAAUUCGAUUUCCACGUUGUCAAAAAAAGCUGAUACAUGUCACGGUAGUACCAAACCAAAACAUUACUAAAGGAAAACUCAAAACCAAACCAAAACUGACCACAGCAGCAGCAUCAUGCAGAACCGAAGUGAUCACUCUCCUUCUCCUGAUGACAAGAACAAAAGAAACUGUUUUUAUUUUUUCAGACACCAUCAUAACUAAAAAAGAACACUGAAACAAACUUUGACAGCUCACUGGAUUAGGGUUUAAGAGGGAAAGGCAACGAGGACACCGAGCAGAACCAAGACCAGGGUUCAUUGUCGGAUCAUAAUCAAGAUUCCCACGCCUCAGCUUCUCUUCGUAUACUUCUCUCGUUCCCAUCUCUCUCAAUCGCCGAUCACCUGCUCUCUUCCCUGAACAUGCUCCACCGUCGCUACACCAUCAAUGGGCCUUAUGGGCUUCGUUAUCUCGGCCCAAAGAUAAACUCUACUGAACACACUCAGAAGAUAGAAAAGAUCAUAAAGGCUGGAUAAGUAUCCGAGUCCUCGAGGGUUUUGGUUUCAAUGAGCUCAGAAAAGAGAAACAGAGUACAUCGUUUUUUAAUUUGUAUCUGGCAGCUAAUUUAAUAUUUCAUGCUGGCUUCUUACAACCAAAACGAGAGAGAUUGCUUUAAACCAAUGAAAAUUAUAAGUUACAUUCGAUUUAAGUAACAACAUCUUACAACCAACAAUCAUUUUUGUUUGAACAAAAUAAGGCAUAGCAACAACAACAACAAGAGAAAUGGUGAAUUGAUUAAUUUAGGAAGUAGACUCAGGACCGGCUGGUUUAGAGUUGAGAAGAGGCUGAAGUGCCUUGACAACGAUUGUCAUGUUUGGUCUGAAGUCUGCUUCGUACUGUACACACAAGGCCGCCACGGCUGCUAACUGUCCGACCACACAAAAAUGAAAAGUCAACAUUACAAAACUAAACCAAAUCAAACAUCCUUAUAGUCAUCAACUUAGAAUUGAUGACUCUAGCUAGUAUUCAAUAUGAGUCAUGAAAGAAAUGUUUCUAAUUGCAUUCACACACUCAAACAUAUUUGAUUCUUAAUUUACGCAAAUUUUCCGUCUAAGCGGCAAACCGAUUAUAAACGAAACGCUUUUUUUUUUAAAUAAUAUCAAAAUAUCUUUUUAUUGUUUGAAAAAGAAAAUGUAGAACGGACCUUGGCGACUGCUUUGGGAGGGAAGUCAUUAUUAAGCUUAGGAUCUAUGCAUUGUUUAACUUUGUCUUCACUUAGUCUCGGAGUUGCCUGCCCAUAGCAAGACAAAAGUAAAAGAGUUUAUUAUUAACAAUGAUAGCUAUGGAUCUCUUUUGAGCAUAUAUACUUGGACAAUGUGUAGUUUACACACCCAAGUAACAAGACUUUGUUGGCCUUUAGGCAUGGUAUGAUCUACAGGUUUUCUUCCCGUCAAGAGUUCCAAAAGCACAACACCAAAACUAUACACAUCACUCUUCUGUGUUAUCUGCCCCGUCAUAGCAUACCUGAAAACAAGAAUACUCUUUACGGUAUCAAAAACAUUCUGAGUGCUAAAAAUGCAUGCAAAUACUUUUUUUUUUACAAGUUCUCUAAGAUUUGGUUCGUUUAAUAUAUUUGUUAUUAUAUGCGAUGAUAUAAAGAUAUGGAUUAAUGGGUUUAUGGUACAAUACUCUGGAGCGUGAUAGCCGAACGUUCCCAAGACACGAGUGGAGUGAAGCCUAGCCGCCGUAUCGGAGGAUGCGUUGGUCAAGUUGAAAUCAGCCAUUUUGGCCACAAAGUCAUUAAACAACAAUACAUUGCUCGACCUUACGUCCCUGUGGACUAUUGGUGGCUGGACCUUCUCGUGAAGGAACUCCAUCCCCUUGGCUGCUCCGUAAGCGAUCUUGACCCUUUGGUUCCAGUUCAGCACCGGCCCUGGCUCAGCCCCUUGAACGCCCUUUCUCCCUAAGUAUUCGAUCCAUGUAUAUAUAUUCUCACAUAUAUAGAUAUAAUAACAUGAACUAAAAUAUUAGUAGUGAGAGUUGAAUCUACCGUGUAACACAUCGUGUAAAGAACCUUUGGUUGCGAACUCGUAGAUGAGAAUACGGUUAUUUGCUUCUAAGCAGUACCCCAUCAACUCCACAAAAUGUUCGUUUUUGAGCCGUGAUACAACCGAUAACUUGCCAUUUUACAAUUAAUAAAAAUUACUUAUUAGGUUAUAAAUACCAUUAUAUAUUUUGACCUAAUCAGAGAUAGAUGAUCGAUGUUUGAGCUAAAGGAUCAUCAGUUUUUGUGAUAUUUAAUGUGUACCUGUGAGGUGAAAUCUGAGUCAGGUUCUUCAGAAGAGCUAGCGUCAAGCUUCUUGAUAGCAACAUCAUCUCCAUUAUACUUGCCUUGGAAGACACGUCCAUAAGAACCUUCACCGAUCAGUGCCUUGUUGCCAAAGUUACUCGUCAUUCUAUUCAACUCAUCCAGUGCAACAGCAGGGAUCUCUAUGGGUAAAACCUUUGCAGGACCUCCUGAUCUCGGUGCGUUCGUGUUCCUCGGCUCUCCUCUAUUUCCACCUAUUCACAAAACGCAAAACGCUGGUGGUGAAACUCAGAACAUAGAAGACAUAAAACUCAUAAAAAAAUUAGGGAUAUUACCGCCAAAGUUAGGGUUUCCGGCCUUGUUAGGAGGGGCUGAAUUAUACUGGUUUGCGGGCGGACCGGCGGGUUCCUCAUCGGCACCUCCGCAACAGAACAUGUUUUUCAGAUGUUGUGCUUUUGUCUUAUUCUUGUGUUUUGGUUCUGUUUUUGUCAAUAUCUGUGUUUACCUGUUAAUAACAUCUGAAAAUGUGUUAUUAAUUACGAAUAUAUUUCCUAUGUUUAUGAAUUUAAAUUCAUUUAUUACGCAUCAUAUUGAAGAAGAUGGAAGAGAUUAGUGAUUGUUACCUCGAUUCUGCCAUUAAAUCAACCUUAAGACAAUGAUGAUGUUGAUGAUGAUAAGAUGAAUACUUCAGAACGUGAGAAAGGAUCUGUUUCUAGGACGUUUGAAUAAAAACUAUGUGUGAUUUCUGGGGAAGAAAUUGGUUAGAAUAAAAAAAAGAAAGAACAAAUUUUAUUUGGAGAAAUUUUGUAAGUCUCUCUGUUCAGCGAUAAAGUAGGGAGAUAAAAAGACACAUUUGCUUAUUAAUAUUGUUAUUAAAAUGAAUUUUAGUAUAACCAACUUAGGAUAAUUUUAUGUUGCAUCCACGUCUUGCACGUCCUCUCCGGACCAUACUACUAAAGUUAUCUUUGUAAUCAUUUGGUUAUACUCAUAAUUUAUCAUUUUGGUACUUAAAAUGUUUUCUUGGCAAAUGAAAAAAUCUAUAUCAAAUCCAGCAACAUUCAAAUGAAGUCACGUUUACUGUAAGAUUAUAUUUCCUUGUAAGAUGAUGAGGAAGAGUUAUUAUGGAUCAUACUGUAUGAUAAAAGUAAGACAAAAUCAACUUUUGAUACAAGAACACAACCAAAACUAAAGCUUGUCUGUCUCUCUCGUUGUUUUUUUUUCCCAACAAAUCAGGAAAAUUACAAGACAAGAGUAUGUAAUAUUGCAAAACAACAGAAGAUUGCAACCUAUUAAUGGUGAAAGAAGCUCUCAAGACUCUGCUAUGUCCUAUGUACAUCAUCCGUUUCAGCUCCAAUCAAAAUCAUCAUCAGAGAGCUAUUCUUCUUUCCAAAUCCUCCCAGUAACUCGCAGCUUAAGCUCUUCUUUAUCACUACCGGAAAAAUACAAAGCCAUGUUUCUAGGGAUGAUCAGUCCGUCCUGACUAUCACGGACUUUCCUGUGACUGUCUCUGAUACUUCUAGGAAUGCCUUGCCAAGUCAGUUUACAGCUGUGAGCUCCAACUUCCAAACUGUAACUAAACUUCUUAGCCUCCUUCUCGUCUCCCAUGAAACGCAGAAAGGCCAUGUACACUGGUGCCGUCCCAAGCUGAAACGCCUCAAAGUGUAAGCAGAACUGUCUUCCAAAACAGUUGAACACCUUAAAAAAGACGUCAGACAAAACAAGAUUCAAGUCAAGUAGUGUAAACACAAGUUCUUUAUCUGGACCAGUGUUCUAAAAAUCGGUCUAGACAGCAACUAGUAGGCAAAUCGGACCUAAACUAAACAAUUUUUCCAGAAUGAUUUUUUAAAAAUCGGUCUAUACAACUACUAGGCAAAUCGGACCUAAACCAAACAAUUUUUCAACAAAGAUUUAUUAAAAAAAUCGGUUUAGACACUAAAAAAAAAUCGAUCUUAGCGUCCGCCUAAUCAAUAAUCUUAUAUAAAGAGCCUAACCACCGCCUAUCAAUUUCUUGAACACUAAUAUGCACUAAACGCAAGUUCAUGGGAUUACCGUAAGCAUCCACGUAGCAUUCUCAACCUCGAGUGGAUUUGACUUGACAUAACGGUGGUUGAAGGUGCAACCAUCAUGCAUAUCGACUUUAUGAUCAUCUUUGAGAUGGUCAACAAGAGUUUGAAUAUCACCGGCCACCGAACACUCAGAGCCAGCGUAAGGACAGUUGUAAGAUCGAAACCUGCAGUGCUGCUCGUGCUUGAGCUUGCUGUAGUACGGGAAAAUGUCGUGACACCCUAGACUUUGGUACCGGCACGGAACUUCUAACGAUUCCGCAACUUUCUCGAGCGCCAAGCAUCUUAUGUUGCCGAGCUCGUAGCGGCAUGUAGGGCAUGUGUUGUGCACUCUCAGUUUGCAGUUUGAACAUAAUGUGUGGCCGUUAGGGCACUGCAUGGAAGUAACACAUGUUAGAUGUCAACAUCAAAGAAGAAUUAAAGAAGAAUAUUAGUGACAACAACAUACCUGAUAAAUUGGAGGAUACAUAAGAUUUGUACAAACUAGGCAAUCGAGGAGCUCAUAGACACCAUUGCUUGAAUGGAUUCCAUAUCUUGCUGGUUUGUUAUUAGCCUCCACUUUAGACAUCUUAACCUCAUAAUCUAAGCCUGUUGAGUUGGAUUCUUUGAAAGCAUUGCCACCAGGAGGAGCCAUAGAGAGUCUGAAAAACCUAACCAAAACUUUGUUUAUUUCUAUUAGCAAUCCCCUUGUGCCCUCAUCUCUUGUGACAAGAUGAUACACUCUUUAGGAUCUUUGUGUCUUCUGCAGUAAAAGAAACAAUGGCCAACAGCUUAGCACCAAAAACCUCUAGAAACUGAAAUGUGAAUGUUAUCAUAGGUAAGUAGGUAACAUGUUGUUGUUCAAAAAAUUGAGGAAGAGUAGGUUAUGAGGAGGUACUAGGUAGAUAUACUUGGUUGUUCACAUAAUCUCUUAACAGUACUACUACACAAUAUUAUUACAAAUCAAGUCUCAGUCCAACCUUAUAAAACUUGGUAGCCACUUACUUGGUUUGAGAGAGAAAAAGGUUAAAGCCUUUGGGAACUAUUGUCACUAUAAAGCUCAUUCCUAGUCAGCUGAAAAUUGCCAACAUCAUUGUUUCCUCAGCUCCAGGUCUCUUGAUUCUUCUAAAUCCUUUCAAAAUGAAUUAAAAAAAAAAAAACAGAAUGGGAUCAAGUUAGAGUUUGAUUAAAAGAGAAUCAUCAUGUUAUGAACAAUGUGAUAUGAAAGCUUAGAAAUUACAAUAGAUUUUAACAAUAGCUAUCACAUGGAGGCAGGACAAAAAGAAAAAAAAACAAAGACUUGAAUUUCUCCUUGCUGAUAUUUUCUAGAUUCAGACAAAGACCAGAUAAAAAAUUUACCCUAUGGAGAAAAUGUCCAGGCGUGGCGGUGGCGUUCAGUAAUGGAGGACUUUGUUUUCAGAUUCAAAAUGAGGAGAUUGAAGAAGAAGAAGGUGUGAAACGAGGAAGAAUAAGAAGAGACGCGGAUUAGACAAGCUACGCAAUUAAAAACGGCAAGAGCAGGAGACAGAGCAGGAGAUAGUUUGUGUCCUGUCCUGUCCUGUCUUGUUGUUUGGCUCGAUGAUGAAACGCCAUUUAAUGGUUUCGCUCUGUUUUACUUUUAUCGCUUUAUUAUUACACUGUUUUAAAAAAAAAGUAAAAAUUACAAAAACAGUCGUCGCCUGAGAGAUUCGAACUCUCGCGGGGAAACCCCAUGUACUUAGCAGGCACACGCCUUAACCACUCGGCCAAAGCGACUUGUUGUUCACUCGACAAAUUUAAUUUUUAUAUAGGAUAAUUAUCACUGACAGUAACAACAAAGAAGUCACAACAACCUAGUUUCUUUCAUGUUCGAUUCACCAGAUAGAAUUGACUUUAUAAGCAGCUGAGCAUAAGAUGUCACGUAAAACAGCUUAACCAACGACUAAUUAAGUAAUGUGACUAAAAAUAACAAAACAGUUUAUGAAAACAUAUGAGGUUAUUCAGACCAAAUAUAUCUUUGAGAAAUUCAUCUAUGGCGCCAAAAAGUAUUCAAAUGAACGAGGUUCACGUUAAGACUCAAGCAGGUUCUUUUCUUAUCAUACACGUACAAUAACAAUGAAAAAUAACUAAUAGAACAAUUUUGGCCUAAUGUGACAUGAUUGACAGCCCAUUCCCACCUAUUUCAAUUAGGGAUGCAAGUACAACAACACUGUCGUUCAUCUCUUUUCUUUUCUUAUUAUUGUUCAUUUUUGUAAAAUACUAAACUUACAUAAUACGAUAUCACCCCCCACUGAUAAACAAACGUUAACAGGUUUCACAUAACAAAACAUAAUAUGUUUUUAGUCUAUAUAUGGGGACACAUGUAUUAUUGGACCAUGACGUAAGCAUACAUUAUGAUUUAGUUGUUGUCGCUCGAUCUAUCUUUUUUCGAGAAUAUUAUCACCCCCCUUGUUAGCUCGAUGAAAGUAUGAAUAGGCCGAGUUAGCUCGUAAAUACUCUCCCUCCUUGCACUUGCUAGAGAGGAUGGGGAAAAUAUAAAACAAAAAAAGUUAGGGGUGACAAAUAGUAUAAAACGAAAGUUAAGGGGUCGUUAUGAGAGAUAUAAAAAGAGGGACCCACACAAGAAAGCCUAAGGAUAAAACUUCUCUCCCCCACCCACUCCCUCUCGUCCAAGCUGGCAUCGAUGAUAAAGAGAGAAAGAAAGCCACCGAUUACCUCCUCUCCCGGUUCCCCGCACGUGCGCCACCCACUAUCCACGUGCCUCUCCUCACUCCCACAACGCCAAAAAACAUACCUCAGUUUUGACAAUUCACCCAAUUUUUUUUCGAGAAAUCUACAUGUGAAUGGCAUUAAUAUUCAAUGUUAUAUAGGAGUAGUUGACAAUAAUAAGAAGCAUAUAAACUAUACAGUAUAUAAAGAGAUAGUCUCCCAAGUCUCAAUUACUACUUAACUUGCUUUUCGGGUGCAACAACAAUUAAAAAAGCGAGUGCGAGUGAGAGAGAGAAGAGGCCAUUACACAACACAACACCACAAAGCCUUCUCCUUUUUUUUCUUUUUUAUCUUUAGUUUCCAAGUCCGUGUAAUAAAAAUAAAAAAAAAGGGUUACUCUCUUUAUAUUUAAGUUCUUCUUUGGUGCAAACAAAAAGUUACGAAUCUUUUUUUCGUAUACAACGAUGAGGAUCCGGAAACGACAAGUGCCUCUCCCUCUUUCGUCUCUCUUACCUGUUCCUCUCUCAGAUCUCUACUCUAACCGGUCUCCGACGUCCGCCGCUCGAUACUUCCACGGCCAAGACAUAGACGGAGGCAGUUCUGCUUCUCUUCUUCAUCUUCCGCUGAUUCAAAGAGAUGUGACGAGCAAGAAGGAGGAGAAAGCUUUGGUGAGUUCUUCUUGUAUACGCUGAGCGUGAAUUAUUAUAUGAUUCUAGUUGUAUUUAUUUAUAAUCGACCGAUAAAAAUAUCUGAUUAUUGGGUGCAGUUUGUGUUUUGUUUAUAAUUGGGUUUUACAGUACUCUUCAUUUUCAAAAUCUUAAUUCGAAGGAUCUCAUGUUCAAUUGCUCUUUUUGUUUUUCUAAAAGGAUGAUGAUAAUGGAGAUGGAGAUGAUGUAGACGUGAAGAGCUGUACAGUUGCAUCGGGCAGGUAAGUGAAUUCUUGAACUGUAUUGUAACUCUCUUGUUCUAACACUUCCAUGUUUAUAACUUUCUGGUGUAAUAAUAAUUGGGAAAAUAAUUUAACUAAAACAUACAACGUUUUUUUUUUUUUCGGUUUUGUAAAAGUUCCAAGCUUCAAAAAUACCCAACACAGAAAUAUGAUCUCAAAAUUAAAACUUUCAUGGUCUUUUAAACAAGAUUUUUUUUGUUAUAUGGCAAUAACGUUUUGCAGAGGCAAUGAUAGUAGAUUCAUUUUCUUUAUUAUGGUUUUAUAGUACCGUGACUGUCGUCAUUCUUCUCACACCUUUAACAUUUUGGGAAAACAAGAGUAGUUACUAGUUAGUAUUAGCGAUAAUGAGUAGGAAACUCAAUAGUACUUCUAAACAUGCACACCUCAUGAUGGUGCACGUAAGCGUGGGAUGCUCUUUAUACCAAUGGUCGCUCUAGCGCUAUUAUUAUCGUCUUUCUUGCAUUCAUAGAUCGUUUUCAUCUCUUUACAUUAAGUCUUUCUUGCUUCAAACUAUCGCAGCAAUAACGUUAAUUCUCAAGGAGAAUCCGACUCUUCAACACAAGGUACACACUUAGAGCUACGUUUAAUUGGUGGCUUUAUGUUAUUUUUGUUGCACCAUUCACCAUUUCUAUGUGUUAUAUGAUAGCUGUCGAGAAGAAUGAAAACGUUGUUACUUUGAGGAAGAGAAGAAGCUAUACAAGCUUCGAGGAACAAGAAGAGGAAGAGGAUGAGGAAGAAGAAGAAGAAGCUAAUAAAGGGAAGAAGAAAAGGAAAGGGAAGAAAAAGAGCAGUGAUGUGUUAGAGGAAGGAUCAAGGUGCAGCCGAGUUAACGGUAGAGGAUGGAGAUGUUGUCAGCAAACUCUUUACGGCUAUUCUCUUUGUGAGCAUCAUCUUGGCAAAGGAAGGGUAAGGAGCACGAACAAGAGUUCCGGUGGUCGCGGCGGCGGCCAGAAAAAGUCGGUGGUGGCCGUGGAAGUGAAGAAGAAGAAGAAGAGAGUGAAGCUUGGGAUGGUAAAGGCGCGUUCCAUAAAUAGUUUGCUCGGACAAACCAGCACAAGUAGUGGAGUGAGUGAGAUAAGUGCACCUGCUGAUCAGUUUGCUGCUAAUGAUAAGUAAGUCAUAUGUAUAUGUUUAGGUACAUAUGAUGAUAAUGGACAUAGCUCUAUGUAUCGGGUGUGUAGAUUGAAUGAUUGAUCGAGACCUUAAUGGCGCUUCUUCUUGAUCAUCCUAUGUAUAUAUUUUUGGUGGAUAUUUAUUUCAGUUUCAACGAUACAUUGGUUGCUCAGGGUCAUAAACUCAUAAUCAAAACAUUUUUGUUGUUAUAAAAAAAUCGUUAAGUAAUGAUGAAAACAUAUAUAAUUUAUAAUUAAUCCACCCUCCAGUGUCUUAGUUUACUGUAGCUUUUUGAUUAAAGAUUCAUAAGCCACAUUGCAGAACUUGAAUUUAGCUUCAGCCUCAGCCUGUUUAUAUACAUUCAAGAGUUAUAACGCAAAUAUAUAAAAACACUUACAAUGAAGAUUGAAAAAGAUUCUUAUUGGUUUUUACGUACCUUGGUAGAGUCAUCAUGAUGAUCAGGAUACCACUUUAAUGCACAAGCUCGAUAUCUAAUCCCAAAACAAAGGGAAAGCAAGUUAAACAUGAUGAUCAUGAGGAGUUAUAGAUGAAUUUGUUAUCAUGAUAAAGUUUAAUAGAAAAACUCACGCAUGUUUGACAUCUUCAAGUUUUAAGGGAGCCCAAGGACUCAGACCAAGUGUUUCUCUGUGAGAAGCUUCUAUUGGGUCAGACAGUACUGAACCAAAUUGAAAGUUUGAUCUCUACGAGUUUGUAUAAAAAAAAAGAAUAUUGCACCUUGUGAUUCAACAAAGCUACAAGUUGUGACAUUUUUAAAAGGGACAACCACUUACUUUCACGUGUAUUUAGGUUUUCUUUUGCCUUUUUAGCAGCGGCCUAAUUAAUGUGUAAUUACACCAAGAGCGUUAAAAACAGUUAACUCAUGGACAAGAGACAUUAUACACUAGAGCUAAAACGUUUUGUUUGUGUUUUGGUAAGUUAUAUAUAAGUCUCAUGUACCUCUUCUCUUUCACGUCUAAGUUCUUCCACAGCACGAUGUACUUUUUCUUGAUGCUCCCUCAACAACUUCUUAACAUUUGAUUUCUGCAAAAAAAAAUUAAGCAGCAGUACAUUCAGGGCCGGCUCAAUAGUGUUAGGGGCCCUGGGGCGAAAUAUUUAUUUUUUACCCUCUAAAAUUUAUAUGUAGAUAAUGUUUAAAAUAAUUUUAAAAUUUAAUCAGUAAUAUUUUGUAAUGAAAAUAAAAUUAUCUACAUAUCAAAUAAUUUGGGCCCUUUUUAAUUUUAUUUAUUACAUUUAUAAUUUUUUAUAUAUCAAAAUAUAGAUUUAUAAAAAAUUGGGCCCCUUAAUUAGUAUUAUACGGGGGGACACGGGCUUGGGCCCGGGGCGGUCGCACCGCUUGUCCCCCCUAAUAAGCCGGCACUGAGUACAUUUCUAAAACACUAUCUCAAAAAUCAAGAAGAAGUAGACAAAUGCAUAUCAAUUAAUCACCAAAACAUACUUUUCCUUGAUGCUCCCUCAAAAACUUUUUUGAUCUCUUGUUCUUCUUAGCCUUUGAUUUCUGCUUGAAAAGUUUUUUAAAAACACACAAUAAUAAUCAGAAUUCAGAAGCUGUAUAUUCAGGAACACCUGUUAAAAAUCUACUGAGAGUGAGAUAAUUGCACCUCCUGAUCAGUUUGCUGCUUAUGAUAAGUAACUCUGUCGAUCAGCCUUGGCAGUUGAUGCAAACUUUGAUUCAAUCUUUCACUUUGACAGGUUAAGUCACAGAAGCAGACGUAAGAGAUACCAAUAUACAUUUGAUGCAAAGUUUAGAGAGAACACAAUAUUUCGAUUCAAGAGAUUGAGAGGACAAUACAUAGCAGUGCUUGGAUGAUGUAUAGUAUACUGGUUGGUCAAGGUCAUAAACUCAUAAUCAAAACAUUUUUUUUUGUUAUAAAAAAUCUCCAUGUAAUUAUAAAAACAUACAUCACUUUUAAUUAAUCCACCAUCUUUGCAUUCUUCAAGUAAUCUUAGCUGACUGUAGCUUUUGGGUUAAAGAUUGAUAAGCCACAACGCAGAGCUUGAAUUUUGCUUCAGCCUCAGCCUGUUAAUAGUUUCAAAAAUUAACACAAAGAGAAAAAGAACACUUACAAUGAAGAUUGAAAAAUAUUCUUAUUGUUUUUUUACGUACCUUGGUAGAGUCAUCAUGAAGAUCAGGAUGCCAUUUUAAUGCACAAGUUCGAUAUCUAAUCCCAAAAUAAAAGGAAGCAAAAAAAGUUAAACAUGAUCAUGACGAGUUAUAGAUGAAUGCAUGUGUUAUGUCAUGAUGAAGAUUAAUAAACAAAAACUCACGCAUGUUUGACAUCUUCAAUUUUCAAGGGAGCCCAAGGACUCAGUCCAAGUGUUUCUCUAUGAGUAGCUUCUAUUGGGUCAGACAGUACUGAGGACUUUGAUGAACCAUAGCCAUCUUCUUCCUCUUUUUUCUUUUCAUCAAAUCGAGAUUUUGAUCUCCACCAGUUACUAGAACUGUUGCUUUCUUCUUCUUCAUCUUCGCUUAGUUCUUCUUCUUGCUCUUCUUCUUUGUCAUAAAAUCGAUAUUUUGAUCUCCAAGAGUUGCUAGAGGAACCAGAAAACCAUGAAGGGUGAUACCACCAACGACGGUCCUCCUCUUCAUAGAUUGAAUAAUCAAAACCUCGUGGUACACCGAAUAAAGAUCGGAAUAUAAUAUCAAAGUCUUUAUCCGCGUAACCAAAUUGACCUUCAAAAAUGUAAUACAUGUUUCUUAAUACCACUAUGUAUCAAAAAUGCGACAUGUUUAAUUAAAAGGGAUAACCACUUACUUUUACGUGGACUCUUGGAGUCUUGGUUGCAUUUAUUCAUGUUUUCUUUGGCUUCUUUGGCCUUUUUAGCAGCAGCCUAAUGUUUAAUUACACAAAGAACGCUAAAAACGUUUUGUUUGUGUUUUGAUAAGUUUUAAUUUGUCUCAUUUUUUUUUGCCAAAAUGUGGAUAGUUUUAAUUUGUCUCAUUACCUCUUCUCUUUCACGUUUAAGUUCUUCCACGGCACGACGUACUUUUUCUUGAUGCUCCCUCAAAAACUUUUUGGAUCUCUUGUUCUUAUUAGCAUUUGAUUUCUGCUAGAAAUUCAAAACCAAAAAAAAAAAAAUUAAUCUAACAAUUCUUUUUUUCUAAAACACUAGCUUUGAACAUUAAAGAAUACACAGUAAAUCUAGAAGCAAUUGACAAAAUAUUAAUCUUAUUAGAUAUACCCACGUACGGAACUAGAAGAAGAGGAACCACGUUUGCGUUCCAAGACGGGAGUUGAAUGGAAAAACGCAGUUUUCAGGAGAGAACAAUAGCUUUGCGGUCUGGAAAUCGCUGCUUUAGCGGCAGCGUUCAUCUCUCUCUCUCUCUUUCUCUCUCUAUCAAAUAUUAGUACACAACAUUGUGACUUGAUCGAAUUAUGUUCGACUCAGAAAUAUUUUUUUUUUUCAGAGAAGCAAGAAAAAAAAUAGUUUAUUUUCCAUUUUGUCUUUUAGGUAAAAUAAAAACAGAGAAUGGAAUGUUCACUCAAAAAGUUUUUUUUUUUGCUUGAGCACCAAGAACUUUCCAUAAAUGAUAAUCAACAUGUUGGGCCGCUGUAAUUGGGCUAAUGGGCCGUUGCAGUAGUGACCUUUUAAUAAUAAAAAUGAACAGAACAAAGGUUUUGCUCUGAGAUGAGCUCUAAAAUGAAGCAACUUGAAAACAUUAAUGUAAGUAAUCAAACACUAUCUAAGCUCUUUUAAUCUUAGUUCAGUGAUAGCUUUUCGCAUAAAGAUUGAUAAGCCACACUGCAUAGCUUGAACUUUGCUUCAGCCGCUUCCUGUUUCAAUACAAUCUCACACACAUAAGAGAAUGAAGAUUUCAAAUGAAAGAGAUCUAAUUGAUUUAUACCUUGGUGGAGCCUUGAUGACGAUCCGGAUGCCAUUUUAAUGCACAAACUCGAUAUCUGAGAUAUAACCAAAACAUAAGUUUCAUGUAAAAGUAAUGAGACGAUGAAGUGAAGUGAAGUAACUCACGCAUGUUUGACGUCUUUGAGGUUUAAAGGACCCGAAGGACUAAGACCAAGUGCUUGUCUAUGAGAAGCUUGGUUUGGUUCUGACUCACUCUCAGAGUCACUUGACUCUGUUGAAGUUGUAUAGUCAUCAUCUUCAUCUUCGUAUAUUCGAUGAUGUUUCGACCUUGAUGAUGAGUGGUUCCGCUGAUGCCAUCGAGGAGGUUCAUCGUCUUCAAAGGUGAAUGAGAAAGAGAAACCUCGUGGUCCACCAGGGAAGAUAUAAUCAAUGUCAAAGUCCUCAUCCACUUCGCAAAAAUCAAAGUUCCCUACACAGUAAUAAUAAAAAUAGCUUUUUAAUAAGAGUAUGUAGAUGAAGAAGCUAAAGACAUUUCACUUACUGGGACCGUGUUUGCCGUUCCAUUUCCCUUUAGGUUCCUUGGCGUAUUGUUUUUUAAACCACGAGGUUCGCUUCUGUGAGGAAGGAGGCUCUUUGUAAUCAAACUCAUCAUGCCAGCUCUGGAAUCAAAAACGUCAAAGUUACUUAAACAAACCGAACAGCGAACACAUGAUAGCAGAGAGAGAUUAGUUCAUAGUACCGUAAACAUGUUUGAUGCGAAGGCAUUCACAUUACGCAGCAACUCUUGCUUCUCUCUCAUUCUUCUGAACCUCUUCCUGUGAACAUUUGAUUUCUACAGAUAAAUUAAAUAAAACAGAACAUCAGAAGAUAAAUUAGAUCCCAUCCCACAUGUUCAAACAUUAACAUUAGUUUAAAAAUUGGUCGGAACUUAGACAAGUAAAAACAUCUCAAAGUCUCAGACUUUUAAUUUUAUCAGACAAAAGAUAAAAAGAAAAAAGCUAAAACCGAACAUCAGAAGAUAAUUAGAUACCCCACAUGUUCAAACAUUAACACUAGUUAAAAAUUGGUCGGAACUUAGACAAGUAAAAACAUCUCAAAGUCUCAAGACUUUCAAUUUAUCAAACAAAAGCUAAAAAGACAAACUAAGAACAUGGCAAUAGAUCCACAUCAGCUAUAUACAUAAACCCAAAUCAAAUGGUCGGAACUCAGACAAGUAAAAACAUCUCAAAGUCUCAGACUUUCAACCAAUCAAAACGAAAGCUAAGAACAUGGUCAUUUCAUCGAUCCAUAUCAGCUAUGUAAAAUGCCAAAGCACGAAACUUUAGCUUGUGGGUUCAACGAAAAAUCAAAUUUUGAAGGAGAAAGAGAAAGAGAGAGAGACUAAACCGAAUCCCAGGAAGUGCGACGUUUGCGUUCCAAGACGGGUGUGGAAUGAAAGAACGAUGCUUUAAGGUGAGAGGAUACGCUCUGUGUUCUGAGAAUCGCAGCUCUAACGGCGGCGUUCAUCUCCGGGAGGUAAGAGAUUGCGUAUUGAGAAGGAAGGGAAGAAGAAAACUAAAAAAGCCGAUGAGGUAGACUCGGUCUUUGACUCGGUGUGUGGACUCGUGAUAAGGGCAUAUACUUCGCUGGCAAAAAGCAUUUUCCGCCAGUAAAAAGGAAUUUAGAGGAGGAAGGAAAUUACAUUUUUACCUUUUUUUUACUGUUUAUUUUUUCUCUGCCUCACGAGUAAAAGUUAAAUGUCACCGUAAAAAUGGGUGAAACCACUUGGAAAUUAGAAUGUAUUGAGGAUAUUAAUCUGCAAUUGAAUUUUUAAUGAUUAGAUAAAUUUUAUAUAUUUUUACGACAAGAUACAAAUUAUGUAAAUGAAUUUUCAGAGAGUUAUAUAUUUUUCGAUGGGAUUUGAACAAGUAAUUCAUUUUAUUCUUAUUCAUUUCAGUAAACCAGUUUUCGUUGGUGAACGGAUGAUUAUUUGAGUUGUGUAUACAGUAUACUAUACUUGUUCAAAAUGCAUUCCGAUAUGUCAUGUGUUUCUUUCUGGUUAUUGAUAGCUUCUAUAAAGCAUCUAAUUGAACGGGUAAAUAUAAAUUGAUUUUGUUUAAGUUUAAUGUGAGUGUUGGGGUUGUUAAUUGUAAGGAUGUAAAGUUACUUCUAUGUGGAUAAGGUUGAGUAUGAAGAAAGUGGAGCGAGGAUUGUUCACCUCAAAUGCUUCUAAAUGGAUUAUAGUUGUAGUGAUCGAUGAGCGUUAUUUUGUUUGCUUUUUGAGGGAUUUCAUAUAUCUCAUUUCUUUGUUUUUAUAAAGUUUAUACUUUAAUUAAUUUAUCAUACUGCAAAUGAUUUUUCAUCAAAUACUAUGAAUGAUCAUCUUUACUCUUCAGUCUCCACAUAAUACAAAUUAAAAACCAUUCUAUGAAUUUGACAACACAAGUUCGUUUGGUUUGUUUUUUUUUGGUAAAAUGUUAAGUUUACCAUUUUCUGAAGAAAUUACAAUGUUGUUGUUAAACAACUUAUUACAGAGAUAAAGAAACAGACAACAACCCAACUUAAACAACUUCGUUUGGUUUGUUUAUUACGUUACAAUCAUGAAUUCGUGAUAGUUAUUGCAACACUAUAGGGUAUCAUUUACUUACAUCAUAACUUCUAUUCUCCAACAUUUAGAACAUGUUUUCUCACACAAAAAAUUAGAACAUGCCUAUGGAUAUAUCUAAUAGAUUAUUUAUUAGAACAUAUAUCCACAACUAUAAGUUUUAUCACUACUUAGAGUUUUUAUUUGGGUUACCCAUUUUGUUUAAUUUGUUUCUAUAACAUAUGUGAUAUGUACUUAUAUUAUGUUAACUUUGUCUUAAAUCAUUAAUCAAGAAUUAAUUUUUAAAUAAAAUUAUGUAUUAUGUAAUAAGAAACAAAUUAGUAUUUAGGAAAUAAAUCAAAAUUUGUAUUUAGGAAAUAAAUCAAUUAUAAUAUCACAUUAUUCAUGGUUUUAGUUGUUUUGCAGGUUCCACAUGUUAAGUAAUUCAAAACAAUUAUAUAUGCAAUUAAUAUAGCAUAAAGUUAUUUUGGGUUAAAUGAUUAAUGUUUUCACUUUAAAAAAGGCUAAAAGUAGAAACUAGACACGUGUCUGCGUGUAGUAACAAAUAAUAUAGCCAAAAGAUGCACCUACGUACAUGUAUUCAUUCUUAUUACAAUUUUGUUAGAUUUCUUUUUUGUUGCAUUUAUUUGCAGGAAGGGGAUUUAUGCGUGUUGGACUCAAGCUUAUCAUUCCAUGCCACUAUAUAAACGCAACAAAACGGUACGAUUCUUGUCAAACGCGAUCUUGUUAGUGAGACAGAGAGAAGAACAAACGAGACUACACCCCGUCUAGAGAUGAAUAUAGCACUCUUGCAAGUAAGAAAAGGAUGGUUAUACAUUUGAUCCCUUUCUCGUAAUUCGUACAUAUCUUUUUUUUUCUUUUACUCUUUUUGUUUGUACUUGUUUUUGCACCAAUGUUAAUUAGCCAUUGUUUUCAAUGAAAUAGUCAGGGUUCUUAUGAGGUACGUACCAUCAUCCGCGAGUGGAAUUUGAUGGUUUUAGCUCUCUUUUUCAGUCCAUUCAUAGAUUUUAGUUUCUGAGUUUUAUUGUUAAUAUAAAUUGGAUAUUUAGUUUGUACUCGUUAAUUUUACCAAUUUUUACAUUGUUUUACUCAGAAAGUGAUAUUUCUUACAUUAGGCUUUUAUUUAGAAAAAGUGAUAAAGUUUUACAAAAAUGUGAAUAUGGUAAUCGACCCGCAUAUGUAGCAUCAAAAUAAAAGGGAAAGUAAGUUUUUGCACUAUGAACUCAGAACGUUUGCAGAUGUGAACCUACUUCAUAACCAUCCGAGUCAAAUGAUCUCUUGGUACAUUGGCCCCUAAUAAUAUUCUAAAUUUACGGGCCCUGAAGCUAGCGCUUCAUCAGCUUGCUACUGCUACCUAGAGUAAAGGAAAUUUGAAACUUUCGCUUAGGACAAAAUGUUUGGAUUGCUUCUCUAUUUAAGUACUUACUAGAUUUUGACCCGCACGCCCGUGCGGGUGUAUUUUUUAAAAAAAUAUGAUGCUAUUUGAUUUUUAUGUCACUAUUUAGGGUUGGUAAAAAAACUCGAAUUCGAAGAAUUGAACCGAUCUCAAUCCGAAUAAGUAGUACUAAAUCUGAACCGGAAUUGAUUAAAUAUCCGAAUUAUUCAAAAUUUUGGUAUUUGAAGAACUGAAAUCUAAUCCGAUCCGAACCGAAGUAUUUUAGGUAUCCAAAAUAGAUUUAUAUACUUAUAUACAUUAAUUAUUUUUAGAUUUAAUAUAUAUAAAAACAUCCAGAAUAUAUAUGAUCUAAAUAUAUACAAAUAAUCAAACGUAAAUACUUAAAUAUAUGAUGUAAAUAUUUAAGUUCGCUUAAAUGCUUGAAAAUAUGAUGUAAACUUUUAAGUCCGCUUAAAUGCUUAUAUAUUCGCUUAAAUGCUUGAAAUUAUAUACAAAUAAUCAAACAAAAAAUAUCUUAAAUAGUUAAAAUAUACUCAAAACUCCAAAAAUAUUUAAAUAAUUAUUAAUUCUUUAUCCAAAUAUUUAAACCAAACCUAUUUAAAUUAGUUAUCCAAAUCCAAACUAAAUCCUCAAAGAUCUGAACUGAACACGAAAUCCCAAAAAGACCCGAAAACGAACCCGAACGCCCACCCAUAAUCACUAUUAUAUAUAUAUCAUAUAUGUGUCAUCAUAGGUUACAAAAUAUGUGUUAUCAUAUAAUUAAUCAUAUUUUAUAUGUACCAUCAAAUAAGUUUUCUUAUAAUUAAUAAUAUUUUAUACGUACAAUCAUAUAAAUAAUCACAUAUAUUAUAUUUUAAAAUUUAAUGUGAAAUAUAAAAACCAUACUUUAAGUUGGUGUUUGAAAUUGGGCGUUGUAUUGUAUUUUUCUUAUAUAUAUUGAAAACAUUUUUAUAAUAGUUAUUAGAAAAUAUGUUAGUAAAAAUCAAAUUUUGAAUAUAUAUAUAUAUAACAGUUAUUAGAAAAUAACUAAUAACUAUUAUAAAAAUGUUUUCUAUAUAUAUAUAUAUAUUUGAAUAAAUUUUUGAUAUAAUUUUAAAUUAUUAUUUUGAUUUGAAUAUAUUAUAUAUCAAAUAACAUAAAUCCAUUACUUUUUAUUAUAAUGUAAUGGAAUUCCAAUUUUUAGUAGCUAAGCCCAUUAUUUUUUUUCCUAACUUACUACUAUCCAUGUUUCCAAACAUUACUAUUUUUUUAACUACUAUUCAUAUUGCCAAACAAUCUCAAUUUGUACUUCAACUUUAAUAAUAUAGACUAGAGAUUGACCCGCACGCCCGUGCGGGUGUUAAUUUUUACGGUUUUAUAAAUUAUUUGUUAUUUUAUCAUUAGUGUUAUAUAUUUAAGAUGUGUCGUCGUAUAACUAAUUGUAUUCAAAAUAUUUGGAUUGAAUCGGGUAAUAAGAUUAUUUUUGGUACAAAUAUACACUCUUUUCAGAUACAUUGGUUAAUUAAAUAUUUUUCUAUUUCUACACAUCAAAAUCAAAAUCAUUCAGACCCGAGAGGAUCCAACUCAAGCAUCAUACAUAAAUUUAUAAUAUCCAAGUGGCGCCUAAUUUAAAAAUCCAAAAAAAUUAAUCCCGAAAGAAACAACUUGUACCUCAAUGAGUAUCCGAAUGUCCAUACUUAACUGAUUUUGCAAAUAGAUUAAAAAGGAAACUCUUUCUAUAUAUUUGGCAAAAAUAAGAAAAAUAGAAAGAAUUUUUUAUUUAAUAAAAUAGUUAUAUGAAGUGAAACAUUAAGUGAUAAUAAAUGUAAUACUUUUUAAUUAUUUUGAUUUAAAUUAUUAUCUUGUUCAUAUAAACUAUGCCUUUGAAUUAUGUGUUUUGCUAUGUAAUUUUUCACCAAUUGGAACUAAGACAAAAGAAAGUUUUAGUAAAACAUAUUAAACCAAACUAUUAACCAUAUGCAAAACUCGGUUAUCUUACAUUUUUAUUUUUUUUAUAAUUGCACAAAGUUAAUAUUGAUUAACUAAUAAAUAAAAAUCUACAUUAUUACUUUUACGGUAAAUAUAAUUAAUGAUGUGAUAUAUUGUUAAAGUAAUAUAAUUAAUGAAAUUACUAAAAUAAAACUAUACUUAUAUUUUUAUACAUUAAUAUUUGUUUUUCAUAAUUAGUGUUUUAUAUUUUAUAUAUGUCGUAAUAUAACUAAUUGUAUUCAAAAGAUCCGGAUCGAAUCAGAUAAUAUGGUUAUUUUUGGUACAAAUAUCCAAACCCGUUUCAAAUACAUUGGUUAUUUAGAUAUUUUAGGAUCAUAUACAUCAGAACCAAACUCAUCCAGACUCAAAAGAAUUCAACUCAAAACCUACACAUAAAUUUAUAAUAUUCAAGGAGUGAGUAAUUUUAAAACAAAAUAAAACGAUACCCGAAAGGAACGACUCGUACCUAAGUGGAUAUUUAGUGUUCAUGCCUAACUGAUUUUAUAAACUAAUAUAAAUGAUAUUUUUUAUGUGUUUUGCUAAAUUAAGUGAAACUGAAAGAGUUUUUUUUAUUUAGUAAGCAAUUAUAUUGAGUGAAAAAUUAAGUGACAAUGAAUGUAAUUCAUUUUUAUUAUUUUGAUUUAAGUUAUGAUUUUAUUCACUAAACAUGUUUUUGAAUUAUGUUUUUGGCUACGUAAUUUUCCACUGAUUGAAAAAAAAAAUGUUAUAGUAAAACAAAUUAAAACAAACGCUUAACCUUAUGCAAAACUCAGUUAUUUUGCUUUUUUGAUUUUAUAAUUGACACAAAACUAAUAUUGAUUAACUACUAAAUAAAAUCUACACUAUUAUUAUUAUGGUAAUAUAAUUAAUGAUGUGAAAUAUUGUUAAGACAAUAUAAUUAAUAUGAGUGAAAUAUGGAAAUACAAUUAAUGUAGUACUGCUAUCUUCGUUUCCAAACAAUUUUCAGUUAUAGUACUAUUCAUGUUUCCAAACAUUACUAAAGUGUACUUCAGUUUUAAUAAUAUAGAUAUACUAAAUCACUAGUAAUAUAUUGUUUCUUUGUUUUCUACAAUUACAAUUAAUUAAGAUGUUAAUUAUAACCAAUUAAUUAUAGUUGUAUUAUUUUUCUUUAAUUCUUGAAUUUAUCCAUAUGCUUAUCUUCUUCUCUUUUAUCAUAAAAAUUAUUUUAUUCAUUCAUUCUAUCUAUUAUUAUUUAUUUUAUUUGCUUAUUAUUUUUAGGUUCACAAAUUUAAUAUAAAAUUAUCUAUAAAAAGAGUUUUUUUUUAUAUUAGACAGUUUUCUUUUGCAUUUAAAUAUUUAUGAAAGAAAUAUAAAACUAUAAUAAAGCGCAUAUUUCUGCCAAAAUGUUAUUUCGAAAAUGAUUUUGAUUAGUUCUUCUAUUCCAUCAAAGAACAUUUUCAUUAAGCAUAAUAUUAUAUCUGGUUUAGGGCAUCAAAAACUAUUGGCGCCCUGCUGCUACCAGGACCAGCUUUGGCGCAGAUGACACUGACAUGGUGCCUAUCGUGUGCGACAACAGAACUGGAAUGGUCAAGGUAAGGAGACAAGUAAAACACUCCUUUUUAGUCCGCAAUGUUCUAACUGUUUUAACCUCAGUUUAUGCCUUUGCAUGAAAAAAAAACAUGAAAAAAACAUAUUUUAAUAUUGUAAAUAUUUUCAGUUUUUAUUUUCUACAAAAUAUUUUGCAUAGUGAAAAACGCAAACAAAAGUAUAUCUUGUGUUUGCCCGUUUACAUUUAUAAUUAACAAUCUAAUUUUCUUAAGAUACUUCCGGUGGUGCAUACAUUUAGAAAAUAUACACUACAUAUAAACAAACAAAACAAGAUAGCAUGUUGUGAUGAUUGGUAAAAUGCUGAAGGCGGGGUUAGCUCGAGACGAUGAACCAAGCGCUGUGUUCCCAAGCAUCGCUGGCCGUCCACGACACAUGGAGUGAGAGAUGUCAAUCAAAGUCCCACAUUGGAUAAUUAGACAAGGAGUGUCUAAUAUAUAAAGAGAUGUCCAACUCUAAUAGUACGAGGCCUUUUGGGAUGGAAACCAAAAGUAAAUCCAUGCGGGCCAGCCUCUAAGGCCCAAAGUGGACAAUAUCGUACUAAUAAGAUAAGAUAGAGUUGGACACGGGAUUUCGCAAUCCCAACAAUUGGUAUCAGAGCCUUACGAAAUCUGAGACCUAAUCCUACCGAGAUAUGGAAAAUAGGAAACAUAAAGUGUUUAGGAGUUAUCUAAUUAUGUUACCUAAUAGGAUUAGGAUAUUAUAAGUCCUAUAUAAGAAGAUGUCAAGUUGUGACAUAGCUUGUGAGGAUUUAGAGUUUGAGGACUUGAGUUUUGAGUGAUUUUCUCAGGUUAAUAAUAAGCGAGUUAUACUUAUUCAAUCUCUAGAUUCCAACAAUUGGUAUCAGAGCGGUUGACGAGAAAUCUGCAAGAAGACCAAAAUACCCUUCGAGUAGGAAUGGGACCCUUCAAGGUGGAAAGGGAGGUUCGGCAGAGAUUAGUCAGAAGAUCCUGGAAUUGUGGGAAGAACAUUCUCGACUAAGGGUGUCGAAUGUCGAAGAUGCGACAAGGCACCGAGAUGAUUCGCUAGAGGAAAAAUGGCACAAGGUGUGUGGUCCUUAGCUUGAGGGGGAGAAUGAGAGAUGUCAAUCAAAGUCCCACAUUGGAUAAUUAGACAAGGAGUGUCUAAUAUAUAAAGAGAUGUCCAACUCUAAUAGUACGAGGCCUUUUGGGAUGGAAACCAAAAGUAAAUCCAUGCGGGCCAGCCUCUAAGGCCCAAAGUGGACAAUAUCGUACUAAUAAGAUAAGAUAGAGUUGGACACGGGAUUUCGCAAUCCCAACAAUUGGUAUCAGAGCCUUACGAAAUCUGAGACCUAAUCCUACCGAGAUAUGGAAAAUAGGAAACAUAAAGUGUUUAGGAGUUAUCUAAUUAUGUUACCUAAUAGGAUUAGGAUAUUAUAAGUCCUAUAUAAGAAGAUGUCAAGUUGUGACAUAGCUUGUGAGGAUUUAGAGUUUGAGGACUUGAGUUUUGAGUGAUUUUCUCAGGUUAAUAAUAAGCGAGUUAUACUUAUUCAAUCUCUAGAUUCCAACAAUUGGUAUCAGAGCGGUUGACGAGAAAUCUGCAAGAAGACCAAAAUACCCUUCGAGUAGGAAUGGGACCCUUCAAGGUGGAAAGGGAGGUUCGGCAGAGAUUAGUCAGAAGAUCCUGGAAUUGUGGGAAGAACAUUCUCGACUAAGGGUGUCGAAUGUCGAAGAUGCGACAAGGCACCGAGAUGAUUCGCUAGAGGAAAAAUGGCACAAGGUGUGUGGUCCUUAGCUUGAGGGGGAGAAUGAGAGAUGUCAAUCAAAGUCCCACAUUGGAUAAUUAGACAAGGAGUGUCUAAUAUAUAAAGAGAUGUCCAACUCUAAUAGUACGAGGCCUUUUGGGAUGGAAACCAAAAGUAAAUCCAUGCGGGCCAGCCUCUAAGGCCCAAAGUGGACAAUAUCGUACUAAUAAGAUAAGAUAGAGUUGGACACGGGAUUUCGCAAUCCCAACAUGGAGCAGAUUAACAAUUGGGAUGACAUGGAGAAGAUUUGGCACCAUACUUUCUACAACGAGCUACGUGUGGCUCCUGAAAAACACCCUGUGCUGCUCGGUGAAGCUCCUCUAACCCCAAAGGCCAAUCGAGAGAAGAUUACCCAAAUCAUGUUUGAGACCUUUGGUGUCCCUAAACUAUACGUUGCCAAUGAAGCCAUUCUUUCUCUCUAUGCCUCUGGUCGUACUACAGGUAAAGGCAACUUUUUAUUUAUGUUUUGAAAAAAAUAAAGGCAAUUUAAAUUUAAAUUUUCCAAUUAAUUAAAAAGAGUAUGUUAUUUUUUUCCGUCAACCACAUGUAAGAAUAUGUUAGAAAAUUAAAAUUUGGUUAGUAUUUAAUAUAGAAUAUGUUAUUCUUUAGGCAUAUGUUUUCUAUAUGUUUUUGUGAGAUAAAUAUCCAAAAGCUGAAUAUAAGCACAAAUAGUAAUGAUGCAUUGGACGUCUAGUGGUUUAGCAUAAAAAGUUGGGUUCGUUGUACUUCUGAUUCGAUUUUCUUUCAAAAGAUAUUUUACGCCAUGUUAUAAGGUAUUAUUAUCAACUGGUUCCCUUGGAAAAAAAUAGGAUUUGGUGCAAACUACUCCCAGUUAAAAUAAAUAAAUAAACACAAAGGAACAAGAGUUUGUUCUUGGUUAAGUUAAUUUAUGAAAAUCUGAUUUUAACAAGUAUAUAUUGCAUUAGUUGAAAAUUGAAAUGAUUGGUGGAUGAGGUCUUAUCCUACUGAUUUUGCUUCUAGGUAUUGUGGUGGAUUCAGGAGAUGGUGUAAGCCACACAGUUCCCAUCUUCGAAGGUUACCCACCUCCCACAGGCGAUCUCGCGUCUAGACCUAGCAGGCCGAGACAUAACCGACUACCUCACCAAGAUCAUGAUGGAACGUGGCUACACAUACACCACAACAGCCGAGCGUGAGGUUGUCAGAGACAUCAAAGAGAAACUAGGUUACAUAGCUCUCGACCACGACCAAGAAAUGAAGAAAGCAACUGCGAGCUCAGCCAUCGAUAGAACCUACGAGCUUCCAGAUGGUCAAGUGGUCACGAUAUGAGCCGAGAGAUUCAGGUGUGCUGAGGCUCUUUUUCAGCCCUCCUUGGUCGACAUGGAAACUUGCGGUAUUCAUGAGAUGACUUACAAUUCAAUCAUGAAGUGUGAUGUUGACAUAAGGAAGGAUUUGUUCGGAAACAUUGUAUUGAGCGGUGGCACAACGAUGUUCCCUGGGAUUGCUGAUAGGAUGAGCAAAGAGAUGGCUGCGGUUGCACCUGCUGGCAUGAAGCUUAAACAUGUGGUUGGUUUUGAAAGGAAGAACAUUAAUGUUUGGAUUGGAGGCGCCAUUUUGGCUUCUUUAGACAGUUUUCAACAGGUAAAUUAUUUGGAUAUAAUAUGGUUUUUAAUUAAGUUAGGGUAUGUGGUUUUGUUGUGAUGCAUGUGAAUAUGCAGAUGUGGGUGACUAAGGCUGAGUAUGACGAAAAUGGACCGGGGAUUAUUCACAGAAAAUGCUUCUAAUAAUUAAGUUUAUUAGCCUUAAAUCAUCAUUUGUUCUGCUGAUAUAUAUAUGCUUUCCUCUUCUUAGUGUUAUGCCUGGUGAAAUAAAUCGUGUUGAGGGAAGCAAUAUAAUUGACUUCUUUGUUUGUAUUAAGUUAACUUUUUUAAGUAAUUUAUUUCUCUCCCAUAAUAUGAAAAGGAAAAUGACAAAUUUCAUCAAUUUUAGAUAAUCAAUAAUUAUAUGUCAAGUCUUUUGAAAACAUCAAAUUGAUUUUCUUCAGGGAACAAAAACAAUCAAAAUUAUGUCAAACCUACGAAAUACUUGAGAGCUAACAUGAAAAAAAACUCUUUCAAGUGAGCUCCAUAGGGGCAUGCACCCCUAUGAGUUUAACCUUUGGACAUAUUCAAUGUCUUUUCAUUCAUAUUUUAAGAAUUGUCAAUCAUGUUGUAACAUUUGCAUUGUAAAUACUAAAACGAUUAAUUUAUCAGAUUCUUAAGAAAAUAAUACAACACAUUUGACAAAAGUACGUCUUAAAGAAAAUACAUCUGCUUGUUAGGACCUUGGAGAUCUAAGAUUUUACCAAAAGGUAGCAAUUCAUUGUUGUGAUUAACUUUAUAACUGAAUGUUAAAGCUACGAGUAUGACAUUCCAGAUUCUUUAGGUUCACCUACCAAAAAAAAAUAACGAUGUUAGUGACUCUGAGAUAUGAAAGAAAAUGGAGUCCAGUGAGGACCAUCUCUGCCUCAAAUUUCAACUCACCGCAACAGCAACACCGGUCUCACAGAAUUUAGGAAUGCAGAUCAACCUGACCAGCUGACCUUCUGACCCUGCAACAUUAAUAUAUUAAACUUAAAGCACUGCUUGACCCAAAGACCUAUCAUGUUCUUAUAUAAUCAAAGGAGAUUGUACCUUUUACCAAACGGCUGUCAUACUUGUCUUGAUUCCCAACGAAGUAAACAUGAGGGCAAGUUUCAAUCAAGAAAGGGUCUCUAUCCGUGAAAGGAUAACAACCUGUAAAAAAAAAUGAAUCAAACCAAUGGACACUAAAUGUACACUUUACAGAGGGGAAUGUUAGCACUCACCUAGCGUAUUAGGUGCAGUGGGAGCAAGAUGCCUCCACCUCAGUGUUCUUUCAACAAAAUCAAGCUUGCUUUCAGCCUCUGAGUACUUGUCAAGGUCAUCAAUGUUCUGACCAGAUGUUCCAAGAAAUCUGCAAGAAAAUGUCAAAAAUAGGUUUUAGCUCAGACAAACGAACUGCAGUUAAGAGAUUGUGACCAUACCUGAUAUUAUCGACGUCAAAGGAGUGAGGAUUUGUACAUGAUCUGAACGUGUUAUAAGGUGCUGAUCCAGGGAAAAGACAUCUGUUCAGAGGCUGAAACAAAAGAAAACUUUGUCAAUUCACAUUUCGGUUUUUUCAAUGUUUAGUUAUGUAAUUUGCAAACCUGUUGAGGCAAAGCGAAGUUAGCUGGAUCAUUCAGGCCUGGCAUUAUAUCUACUGAAACUCCUGCAGCUAUCUACAAACAGUCCACAACCAAAAAAAAACAAGAAUUUGAAUUUUUCAUCUCAAUAUAAUUGAUAAGACACAGGUGGAUCUUGUUUUUAACUGACCUGGUUUAACAUGAUAUCAAGCUCUUUGAUGGGCUCAUACAGUGUUGACUGAUCUUUGGAGGCCAUGUUCUGCAGAAAAUCAACCAAUAACGAUCAUAACAGAGGCAGAUAGCUGAAACUGUGUAUAUCAGCAGGGAAAGCUAUCAGUACCUGUCCAGUUAAGAGUUUACGGGGGAAUUCAACAGAGUUUCCAGCAAUCACCACAUGAACUAUCUGCGCUGCAAGGCCUAGUUCCUGUUCAAACCAACAUAACUAUACAUUAGAAACUAAAAGGAAGAAAAAUACAGAAGAACCAGAAAGUUAAAAAGUUUUUAAACCUCAUCCUCUGAAACAUGUCCAGUUAUAUGGUCAACAAGAAGCUGAAAUAGCAGAGGAUUAGACGAACUGCUUCCAAUGGACAGGCCCGAAACUAGUAAAACGUAUUUAUCUUCCUCUGCAGAAGAGGAUAAGAUGAAUAAUUAUAAGAGAUUGCUUUAAGAUAUGAUGACAAGCAAAAGAAAGAAAACAUAGCUAGACUUACUUAGAUGAUCCAAAGGCCGUUCUAACUGAGGUGGUAAACCAGCUUCUAGCACAUCUUCAACAACGAACUCACCAGCACUAGUUUCCUUCCCGUGCAAUGCAACAACAACACCUACACUUGUCUAAUUCAUCACUAUCCAUUUUCUCUCAAACAUCAUAACAAACACAGCAAAGAAGAGCGACACAAUAAUACCUGUGACAUAAACUGCAGGUGAAAGAGCAGAGCCGCCAAGCUUAACUCUCCCACUCUCGUCUUCUAGGAUCAGACUAUCAUCAGGGUGCAUGAAGUUACGAGGUUUCACAAGCGGUGUAACUGACCUCUGCAUUGGCGUUUCAACACACUCAGCAGUUUAAAUACUCAAUCUCAAUCUUUGUAUAACCAACGAAAGAACGAACCUCUUUAGAGUAUUCAUCAAGAACGCAAGGUUUAAGCUUCAUAUGCUUAAACAAGGUUCCCACAAUGAUGCAUUCCUUUCCUUCUUCAAGUCCCAACACCUUGCAAACUAUCAAAACACACACAAACAAAAAUAAAAAUAAAGCCUUUAAAUUUUCAAAAACCAGAUCUGUAAAUCAAAUACCCACAAGCCUAAUUCUACAAAAGUUAACUCCUUUAUUGAGUUAAAGGCAACUCACCGGGCAAAUGGGGUUUCCAGGAAGGGGCGAGGGAGUAGAGGAGAGUUCUCAUGAGGUGAAGACGAGCGAAGUAAAUCUGACUGUACUGCUGACCUCUGUACAUCUCCUUUUGUAUCUCGAACCUCUCAUCCUGCUUCAAUUCAAAUACAAACAAAAGGAAGCUCAGAAUCUCAAUUACAAACCCUAGCAAUACACUCUAAUUCAAAACAGAGGAAAGGGAGAAGUGGUGAACAUAUCCUUUUGUAUCUCGAACCGCUCAUCCUGCUUCAAUUCAAAUAUAAACCAAGUUCAGAAUCACAAUUUACAAACCCUAGCUUCCGCGCAGAGAGAGUCGUCGAAUUAAAACAGAGAGGUGGGUGAACCAGGGAAGUGUAAUCGGAUUGCUUCCGUUCGUGAGUCUUCUCCGAGUCGAUUUCCAUUGAUGCCAUGGCGGGAAAGUUUCGGGAGAGAAGGGAGAGACUGAGGAAAAAGUUUUCAACUUUUGGCACUUUAUCGAGAAAGUGAGAGUCUUCUUUAUUUAUCAGAGAGUGGAAAAGGGAAUUAAUUUAAACCGGAAAUCCCCCGGUUUAACCAGGCUAAUUAAAAAAAUCUGUUCUAAGUUCAUUUCAUGAGGUUGAUUCAUACCAAGUUGGCGGGAAAAAAAAAUCUAAUUCAGCCUACACAAAUUUUAUCAUACUUCAAUUUUUAAUAUCUUUUAUGGUUUCUAACAUAAAUUUUUUUUAUUUUAAAUAAACUAUCAAAUUUCAACCAAAAUGAACAUUGAAAAGAUGUUUUGAAAUUUAAUGUCAGAUAUUUCUCUGAUAUAUCAAUGGUUCUAUGUAAGAAAAAGUAUAUAAAACUAAAAAUAUAUCUUGACCCCCAAAAAAAAACUAAAAAUAUAUAAAAAUUAGAAUAACCUUAUAAAUAUAUACGAAAACUCUAAUAUAAAAAUUUAAAAUAUGACAUAACAUCUGUAUUAGUUGGGGCCAUUAAACCAGUAACGUUCAAUAAGCAUUGAGGCCCUUUGAAUCUGAUUCGCAGUGGAUAAGAAAUGAAUACUUCCAAAACAACAUUACUAAUAGGUGCAAUAUCGUGACCUAACCAAAAAAAAAAAAACGUUACAUAAAUCUCAGUCGUUUGGCGAUCCAAAACAUUUAACAGACAAAACAACAAUAAUCAAAUAUAAUAAUAAUAUUAAAUGCAGGCAAAGAAAAACAUUCAUAAUCAAAUCGAAAGCCUGAACAUUUUCUCUUUCUCCUCUGCUUUUAAUGGCUAAGCCCGAAAACGACGACGUCUUUCCCGAGAAACAAACAUGGGGAACAUGGGAAGAGCUUCUCCUCGCCUGCGCCGUGCACCGCCACGGCACCGAGUCCUGGCUCUCCGUAUCCGCCGAAAUCCAGAAACGGACUCGCAACCUCUCCUCCCUCACCGCCUCCGCCUGCCGCCACAAGUACUCCGACCUCAAACGACGGUUCACUCAAGAAAUGACUUCACCGGAAUCAGAGAUCUCAUCCGUCCCUUGGCUGGAGAAGCUGAGGAGGAUCCGAGUAGACGAGCUCCGUCGCGAAGUCGAGCGAUACGAUCUAUCCAUCUCGUAAAAAAAAAACUCCAUCGACUGUGUGAGAUUUGGGGAUUUUUAAUGAAUCGAGUAGUUUCGUUGAUGCAGGUCGUUGCGAUCGAAGGUGAAGAGAUUGGAAGAAGAGACGAGCUCGGAUCUAGAUAAGAACGAGCUCCGCCGCGAAUCGGAUCGCGACGGCGGCGAACUGGUCCCGAUUUCGCCGGAUCCGGUAGAUAUUAGCUCGGUGAACGUGAAGAGAGAGGAGGAGAUGGCCGGAGGAGGAGAAGCGAAGCUGGCCGGAGAUGAUUCGUGUAGAGGGAGCUGCGAGAAGGAGUCGGGAGUUAACUCGGAGCGAGUUGAACCGGGGAGAAGGAACGAGCUGACUCAGUCGGAGGAGACGAGUGACGUGCAGAGCUCGGCGAGCUUGCCGAGGAAGAGAACGUCGGAGAUUGAUAAGGAGGAUCAAUCGCCGAGCGCCAAGGAUUUCAAUCUUGAAUCUCAGCCGUCGAUUAGUUUCGUCGAGAUGCUUCUGUCGCAUCCGUGUGGCUACUUCUUUUCGCGCCGACUCGAAACCCAGGUGAAAAUUGAAAUUCGAUUUUUGAAUUUUGUGUUUUAAUUUAUCUUUAUUUAAUAAAAGAACAAUAUAACCGAAAUAAAACUUGAUAAUUUAUUCUGUUGAGAAUAAUAUGCUUUGUUUAUAGCAUAGUAUAAUGUUAGCAUAUACGGUCAACUUGUGUAUUCAAUGAAGAAUUUGGAUGAUAUGUAUUAGAAUGAUAAAUUUAUUAUUAUAUAUAAACACAUUUAAGGCUGAACAUUUUCUUCUCUAGUGAUUUUAUGAUAUUUUGGUGAAGUUUUUAUUGAAAAAGAUAAACUAAAAUUUAAAAUGGUUUUAAAGAAUUAUUAAUUUAAUGAUAGUAAAUUCUUUAAUACGAAUAAGUUCAUCUCAAGUUCAUCAAAAAUCAAAUUAUUCCAAACAUUUUCAAAUGUUAAAUUAAAUUAAAUUAAAUACAUUCAUCUAAAUAUUCCUGUGUUUUUAAUUUUUAAAAUAUUUCAUUUGCUAAUAGUCUUAUAAAGGAGUUUAUUUUAAAUGUGACACGUGGGAGUCGUUGAUUGGGUUAUCAAAUUGCAUUAUAGGUUCUUUGACGGGUUGGAACGUGCCCACGUCGAUAUAUUCUCGACCAAAAGCCAUGCACUCAAUCAUACAUUAUUAUAUAGUAAAAAUAAAACAAAAAUUAUAUAUUAAUCUGCAUGGUUCUAACUUCUAAUGGCUUUGUGUUUACCGUUGGAAGUUACAGGAAACACCAGAGUACGGUAAGAUUAUCAGACAGCAUGUAGAUUUUGAGAUGAUUAGGAAACGUGACGAAGAAGGAUUGUACAAAAGUUCGAUGACCAAAUUGUUUCGUGAUUUGCUUCUACUUAUCAACAACGCCAAAGUUUUUUAUCACAAGGGCUCUUCUGAGUUCAACUCUGCAGAGCAGCUUCACCAACUCGUCAAGAAACAGAUGGCUACUACUCUCGAGAGACCUAGAGAGAAGAUCUCACCACCGAAAGAGAAGUCACUGGAGUUGGUUUCGCUUAAAGAAGCUGUUGCAGUCACUUCAAAGCCGAGAAUCUCUCUCUCUAUUGUAGCUUGUCGGAAACGAAGCUCCUUGGCUUCUAAACCUUUGAUAUCAGCCUCUGGAGGUGACAAGAAAGGGAAGAAGAUAGAUGGAGUGGUUGAUGAUGAGAAGCUUGUUUUAUUGAAGGAUGAAGAAACCUCUGGGAAAGAUGACGAGUCUCUGGUUUUGAGGAAGAUGGUGAGAGGAAAAACCUCUACGGCUAAAAAAGUAGUAACCAGGAACGUCAAGAACAGUGGUUCCAGCUUGAAUGAGGUUAAGACAACUGAUGAAGAGAAGAAGGGUAACCAAAGUGGUAGCUCGAAAAGGAAAAGCGUUGCGAAUUUUCUCAAGAGAAUGAAAGGUGGUGGUUCUUCGUCUGAUACAGUGGUCGAGACAUUGAUGCCAAGCUCUGAACAGAAGAAGAACAACAUCCGCAAAGCUGAUGCUAAGAAACGAGCAACAGGGGAGAACAAAACAAAUGAAAAAGCAAGUCCUGUGAAGAAGAAAAACAAUGGUCGAGCCCUCAAAGGAGAGGCUGCUCCAUCUUCUUCUUCACCUGUUGUUGCUAAGCGAAGUAGGGAAUCUGGUGAGAAGAAGGAAGCUUCUUCUUCUUCUCCUUCUUCUACACGGUCGAAGAAACGUGCAAGGAGGUAAUUAGUUAUAUUGUACUACUUAAUUAGCUACAUCCUCUGAAGAACAGAGCUUUUUUUUUGUUUUUGCUAACAAGUUAGAGUAUGAUGUUGAUGUAUAAUUGGGGAGUAUGGCAAAACAUUUAUCUAGUUUGGGACCUCUUUGUGAUUCUCUCCAUCUCUAAAUCAGUAAACAACUGCAAAUUAUGUGUUUAGUAAUUUGUAUAAAAGCUUUCUACCACUUAGAUAUGGCAAAACACAGAAGUUAAAGUUACAAAGGAAGCAAAGAAGAAUUGAUUUAAUGGAUAAAAACUUUUAUAUGAUUUAGUUACUGGAAAAAAAUACAAAGCCAUGAAGGAAUAAAUCAAAAUAAAAUUUGUACUUAUGGUUUAUAGGAAUCGAUCUCAAUAAUGAAACAAUUCGUUAAACAGUUGUUCUUCUGAACGUGACCCAUUAGGAAAGCCUUAUGGGCUUUUUAUCUAGGAUACAAAAGAUAACUAGCCUUCUUGUAUCUCUGAUCAACUCGUCUCUUAAGCAGGUUGAGCUGUCCUAAUUCUUAUCCACACAUGCACUUCGAGAGCACCACUACUCACAGUAACAGCUGUGUGUGAGUGAGAGAUACGCGCCGAUUCUGAGCGCGUUGGAUUAGGAAGAAUGUGAAAAAAUCUAGUAAUUCCCUCUUCAAACGGGGGCUUAAGAAGUCAUCCAUUGGCCAAUGGUUUUAUAGGAUGAUGCUGCUUCUGCUUCUAAGUGUGUUGUGUGUAAGUAAACUGAGGAAGCUCCUUUUUUUUUACUGUCUUUUUGUUAUCAGAUCUCUCUAAUGUUUAGGGUUUGUGUUUGUGUUUGUGAUCACUUUUAGUUCAGAGUCUCUCAGUGUUUCUCUGAUCUCUGUUUCCUACUGAGUAGUUGAAAGCAAAGAAAGUGACCAUUUGUAUUGUCUGGUAUCUGAGUAACUGAUGCAUGUAUAUGCCACACAUAGGUGAGUUUUGUCUAUUUUCUUCUUUUAUGAGUAUUACCCUCUUCCUGCAUCAUUGUUAAGUUCAGUUACUUAGUUUGUGUUGUGUCCCCAUGAGAUUGGAAACAAAUUAAAAGUUAGCCUUUUAUCAUUUGAUUUACUCAUGCAAGUUAAUCCAACUUUUUUUGUAGCUUGUUAUAUUAUUCAUGAGAAAUGGAAUCUGUUUAGGUUUGGAAGUUGGAAACAUUUUUUGAAGUACAAUUCUUUAGAUGUUAAAAGAGGAGUGGUCAAUGCUUGAAGUGGAAUCUUGAUUUUUUUCUUUUAUGUUUUAUGAUUGGUGGUUCAAAGUGUUUGUUCGUCCAUUAUUAACUAAUUUGAAAGGGUGUAACGCUACUUGGUUGAUUCUAAAAUGAUGCAUAUAAUAUAUAUUGAGAAUAAUAUAAAGAUUGUCUUCUUAUAUAUGAGCUAGUGUGUUUUGAGCUUGCAGGUUUCUAACUUGUAGCGUUUAUAGACCAUUAUGAGAAGAGGUAGAGGGAAAGGGAGGAAGCAGAGUGCGUCUGCUCGGGAAGACCGUGGAAGCGGUGACGAAGAGAAGAUCCCUGCUUACAGGAGAAGAGGAAGGCCACAUAAGCCGAUGAGAGAUGAUUUUGAAGAGGAGGAGGAGGAAGAAGAAGAGAUGGUAGAGAAGCUGGAACAAGAAGAAGAUAUUGAUGAUACAAAUGAAAGCUCAGUAACGAGCAAAAAACAAGAGAACGAGAGGAAGAGGAAGAUAUCUAAUGGAGACAAUGCGGAUUUAAAAGAAGAAGAGACCGAGUUAGAGUUAGGAUCCAAAUCAAGCAUGGAUGGUUCCACGAAAUCGAUAUCUACUGGGUUUAGACAGAAUGGAAGCAGGAGGAAAAGCAAGCCGAGAAGAGCUGCUGAAGCUGUUGUGGAAUGUAAUGGAGUUUGAAGAACUAAAAUGAAACAGGAUGAUGACAAGUUAACCUGAGGAGGCCUCUUCUUUUUGGCUUUUAUUACCUUUUUUUUGUUGCAUUUGAUAACUUUGGAUAUCUUUUGGUGUUUAUAUGAUUCAUGAAUCAUUGGCAUCAUCAAUCUGCAUACCCUUUUCUUGUGUCUCAUAUGUUUAGUUUCUGAGGCUUGAUCGUCCAAAGAUGGUCCCUGCUGCAACACAUGAGGUAAAGUCAUUCGUACAUGUGAGUGAGUUCAUCUCGUCUACAAAAGUUAUAAUUAGUCUAAGAUAUUAUAAUUGCAAAUCGUGUACGUUAGGUAAAAUGUAGCAGUAAAGCCAUUAAGGAAGAGAGUUAAGAAAAAGGGCAGAGUCAUUACACUUUUUCUUGAAGUCAUUACACUUAAGAGACAGGUCUACACAAUUUUUUUUAAAAAAAAUUAUAAUAUAUAUUCAUAAUCUAAAAGUCUAAAACAACUUAAGAAACUUACAGAAAAAAGCCUUGAAUUGUUUAGAAAAAAAUGUUAAUUAUUUUUAAAACAUAUGGUUAAUCAUUUGAAUUAUGUGAGAAAAAAAAAACUAAACAUAUAUACUAAUGUUUUAGUAUAUUUUAGUAUCUCUGUCUAACUAAUGAUCAACCCACACUCCAAAUGGUAGUGACUUGAAGCCAAGAGCACUUUUAAUGAAGUUUCUUCUCAUUGGAAUUUUUAAUAUAUGUGUUAUAUAUAUACAAAUAAUUGUGGGAUCCAUAAUUUUUGUAGAACUUCAUAAAAAUGGUCUAAGGUUACUUAAGACCAAAUGGAUCGUAUAGGAAAUUCAAACCCUAGUUCCCAUCUUUUCUUCAACAAAUAGAAAAAAAGUUGAGGAGUUUUUUUUGUUUUGAACAAAAAAAAAGAGUUGAGGAGUUUAUGACAUUUUUUAAGUAUUACAUCAUAUUCAACUAUAAUGACGACAUAAUAAUAUUUUUUCUGAAUGUAUAGCUAUCCAGAACCUAGUUGUUUCUGUGUGUGACACAUGUUUGUAAAAUCAGUCUUGAGAGAUCAGGUCUUUAGUUUCAGGGUUUAACCAAUGCAGCCAAACAAAAGGAAACUACUUUCACUAAAUAAAGCUAAGCAAAAAGAACAAAUCAAACCUAAACCUAUAUAUUAUAUAAUAUGUAAAGUAUUACAGUUCGCACAGACUCUGAUGGAUGUCUAUUACUUUUCAUACUUUCUGUUAUUACAAAAACCAGGAAGAUCUUGCUUUGGAUAUUGAGUUGUGAAGUUGUGACCAUAAUUUUCCAAACAAAUCAAAUGGGGAGAAAAACCAAAUACUAAAAUUUUAUUUACAAAACAACAAGCAAACAAAGUGAAAUCCAAAAUAAUUAAAAACAUUUUUUGGUUAUAGCUUAAUAUAUUUAUUGUGUUGCUUGCACACCUGCCGACACCAGCUAGUUUCCUUGAAGUGUCACAUCUUUUGUUGUGUUCCAAUAAAUGUACUGCUCAUAUUUCAGUCGUUAAAAUUUUAACUUUUUAACCUUUAAAAUCACUAUAAUUAAAAAUUCACAAUCAUUUUUUUACCAUAUUCGUUACUUUCUAACUACUACAGUUACAUUUGUAAAAGUAAGAAACACUCUAUUUAUAGAACUCUGAACUCCUCGGCACUUGCUUUGUGGUUCCCAAUGCUGAGUAUAGAAUCUAUGAAGGAUAACAGCAUUUGAAGACCAAAAUGUCAUUAGUUUAAGUACAAAAGAAUCAGAUUAUCAAGAUUUGUGAAGUUGGGUGUUCUAUGCAAGUCUCAAGAUUGCUCCCUUGUCUCAGAUAAGAUGCUCUCAACAAAUUCAACACAGAUUUUAAUUAAGCUUACAUCUCCUAUGACCCAAAAAAAAAACGUACAUCACACAUGACACAUCACCAUAAACUGAUUACAUCACCUAUGACCCAAAAGAACUUACAUCACCACAUGACACAUCACCAUCUCAUUUAAUUAUGGAUGUCCACUUUAAGGAGAACCAUCGAACUAGAACUCCUAUUGUAACACAUCGAAUCCAUAUAAUGUAGACACACAAGAAAGUUAUAGUGGACCAUAUAGGUUUUUAAAGUUAAUAAUUGAUGCUUUUUAGAUGCGAACGGCCUGAUAAUAAAACUGUAGGUGAGAACGAUUUAUGUGAGCUAGAUACUGUAUAUAGCGCUGAAUCAAUAAACUUAUGCGUAUGAGAGAAUGAUAACACAAGAAGAAAAAAGUAUGCUCUUAGCAAAAAAUAAAAAAAAAAGAAGAAAAAGUAUGCAUAGCGAGAGAAAAUAUGGGUCUAAAAGAUGCUAGCAUGGGGCAAGCGGUGAAUAUGAUGAGUACUUGAUAUUGUAUUGUGUUGAAAAAACGUAAAUGGUCGAGCUUGUCUAGUAGUAUGGUAUACAAUGAAUACUUAAAGGCCGCAACCUAGGUUUGACGUUCAUAUGAGUGUGUUUCGCUCAUUAUAACGUGAAGUCAAUACAUCCCAUAUUCACGCUGAGCUGAUCUUAAACUUUUUUUUACACCGAUCAUUCAAGUUCUUAUCCGAUAUUCUGUAACUGAAUAAGUUUUUACAUUUUUCUACUGUUGAUCAUUUACAUACUCACAUCUAAAGAAUAAGGUUUUAAGCUAUAUAAAACUUAAACCGAUCUCAUAAUUAACCUCCUUACAUCUAUUUUCUAACAGCUUACUUUUAGUGUAUAUUCAAAUGAUUUUCUUUCAAACAUGCAUGCUUAACGUGUCAAAAUCAAUUCCAAAACAAAAAUAAAGAUUUCAUUUCCUUAAAAAUAUGUGGCCGCAAGCAAGCGAAUCAAGUAACUACUAUCUAAAAACGGAAUAUAUAACGGGAUUAGUUGAAAGAUAUUUUGGUUUGGUUUGGUUGGUUGGUUGGGAUAAUUUUCACCACAGUUGGUUGAUAAGCAUUUAGUUUGAGUACUCUAUUUAAUUCUAUUCCGUUUAUUUUGGUUUGAUAAACAUUCAGCUCAGAACUUAGUUCAAAACCCAGUCAAAUUUGUGGUAGAUUUUGGUGUUCAGAAACCCAAAAUAUCAUCUCCAUUUAUUAUUUGCCAACCUCAUAAUGCCAAUGGUGGACCAAAAGAAAAACAUGCAUUUAUUUAUUCGUUUGAAAAAAAAAAAGAGAGAAACAAAUGCGUUUAACUUGUCAAAUAAUUGAACCGAAAAAAAUCUAUAAAAAAGUUGAAAACGUGAACAGUAUAAAGUAAAAAUAAUAAUAAAAAGAUGUGUACAUGAUGAAAGACCUCUCCAAUGUUCAUUUGCCUCAAGUUUCUUCUAACUCCAAGAUUGGAAACUGCUACAUCUCUCUCUAACAGACAACAGUUUAGUCUGUGUCCGUACCGUUUUACUUACUGUCUUUGUCUAUCGCCACUCUCGUCUCUUUUUCUUUGCUUCUAUUGUCUCCCUCUCUCUCUCUCUCUUGUUUGCUUUCUUCCCCUUUCGUCCUUUCUUUAAACCAAGACAGUUAGGUUUGAGAGAGAGAGAGAGAAUGAUAAGCAAGUACUCUCUUUCUGUCUGAAUAAAAGGAAACAAAUAUGAAUAUGGGUUCCAACUCGGGUCAGGGUCUUGGUCCGGGUCAGGCAGAGUCCGGUGGUUCAUCGAAUGAGUCAUCCUCUUUCAGCGGAGGGCUCAUGUUUGGGCAGAGGAUCUACUUCGAGGACGGUGGAGGUGGGUCUUCUUCCUCCGGCGGGUCAAACAGAAGGGUUCGUGGAGGCGGGUCGGGUCAAUCAAGUCAGAUACCAAGGUGCCAAGUGGAAGGUUGUGGAGUGGAUCUAACCAAUGCAAAGGGUUACUACUUGAGGCACAGAGUUUGUGGAAUGCACUCUAAAACACCUAGAGUCAUUGUUGCUGGUAUCGAACAGAGGUUUUGUCAACAGUGCAGCAGGUUCUUCAUUUCAUUUUUUUCUCCCUAUUCUACCCCUUACUUCUUGUGUUUAUUUGUUUUGCCAUUAUCCACAUGCCCGGUCCUGAACAUAGGCAAGUUAAUGAACAAUCGGUAUAAAACAUUAAUUAUAUAAAAAAUAAGCAACCGGCACUUAUUGCCGGCCAAGACUCUCCUGUGAAUCAAAUCCAAAGGCUUUAGCUAUCUUUUUGUGUAGAUUGUCAGUGUCAUAUGCUUUUUCUUGGCUUUAACGUCUUUGGAGGGUUUCACUUUUAACUUUACAGCUUAGUGUUUUAUAACUUGGUCUUGUGUUUGUUGGACUCGUUGGGGCUCAUUUUUGGGAAUAUGUUUUACGUGUACUUCUAUAUGCUUCUCUUUUAUUUCUUUUGACUUGUCUCUCUAAAAAAAAUCCAAUCUAAAGGGAUAUGAAAUGAAUGGACAAUAAGAAACCUAUUGCCCUUGUGUUUGCUUCUUUAGGUCGUAUCAUUAUUGAGGGGGACAAAACUGGUACCAUGGCAUCAAUGACGUGAACACUCAAGAAACUAUGUUACAGACUUACAGUGUAACUUAACAAAAAAAAACUAUGUUACAGUGUGUGUGUGGUUAAUUAUAAGAUUCAGAAUCAAGUUAACCUUAUUGACUUAAAGAAUCCAUUAAGACGACCUUAUGUGUUUGGAACGUUUUUGGUUAUAUGUUGCUUUUCUAGAAGCUAACACGGUCUGAAUCAAUGUGACAUAUAGGUUUCAUCAGCUUCAAGAAUUUGACCUAGAGAAAAGGAGUUGCCGUAGGAGACUCGCUGGUCAUAAUGAGCGACGGAGGAAGCCACAGCCUGCGUCUCUCUCGGUGUUGUCUUCUCGUUAUGGGAGGAUAGCACCUUCCCUUUACGGUUAGAUCCUUAAACCUGUUAUGUUAAUCAACGAAUGAAAGUCCUACAUUUGGAGAUAUAAUAAACUAAUAUAUAAGUGGUUAGAGCCAAUCUAUUUAUUAUCAAUUAAUUGAUUUUUAGCCAAUGAAAUUUAACAUAAUAAGCUUUUUUCAAAAAAAAAAAAUUAACAUAAUAAGAUGACUUGUAAACUAACCCUAAGAUGUAUAUGUUUCACAAUGUUUUGGGGACAGGAAAUGCUGAAAGUACAAUGAAUGGGAGCUUUCUUGGUUCCCAAGAUAUGAGUUGGACGAGUUCAAGAACGUUGGAUACAAGAGUAAUGAGACGGCCAGUGGCAGCACCAUCAUGGCAGAUCAAUCCAAUGGAUGUGUUUAGUCAAGGAUCAGUAAGUGGAGGAGGAGGGAUAAGCUUUUCAUCUCCAGAGAUUAUGGACACUAAACCAGAGAGCUACAAGGGUAUUGGCGGUGACUCAAACUGUGCUCUCUCUCUUCUGUCAAAUCCACAUCAGCCAGCAGACAACAACAACACAUGGAGAACUUCUUCAGGUUUUGGUCCUAUGACGGUUACAAUGGCUCAGCCACCACCUGCACCUAGCCAGCAUCAGUAUCUGAACCCGCCUUGGGUGUUCAAGGACGAUGAUAAUAACUGUCCGAAUGAUAUGUCUCCUGUUUUGAACUUGGCCCGGUUCACCGAGACAGAUACGACAAUGGGUGAGUUCGAGUUAUCUGAUCAUCAUCAUCCUCAACAUCAAAAUAGGAGGCAGUACAUGGAAGAUGAUAACACAAGGGCUUAUGACUCUUCUUCACAGCAUAACAACUGGUCUCUCUGAGUCUCUUUGCCUCAAAAAGUAGACUACUCUUUGCAAUAUCUUAUCUUUUUCUUUCUUUCUGUUAUUUGCUAUUAAUAAACCAGACAAUGGCUUUUGUUUUUAUUCUUCUUAUUGUUGUUCUCUCUUCAACUUAAGAGAUAAUUUUGAGCAUAAAUGUUUCAUAUAUUGAUCUAUAUAAUCUCUUCCUCUAUAUAUAUAUAUAAAUGUUUUUAACUUAAAACCGAUUAGUGAUAAUUGGAUUGUAUUAUCUUAACUUUCGAUAUGGGACAAUGUUCCUACAUCCUAAUGUUGCGGUAAUAAUCGAUGAAUCAAUUUAAGAAUGGAUCAAUAAUAGAUCGGAUUGGAUUAUUUGGAUCCGCUUUUGACAGCAUAUUAAAUUAGAUAUUUUUCAACUAAAAACUAAUUGGUAAUAAAUUGAUUAGUCUAUCUACAACCUAGGAUCUCUUCCAAAGGAUGUAACUAAUAUAAUCAUCCUAGUGAAUCAAAGCAUGAGCUACUAGGUAGAACAUUACAUCAUCGCUAAGCCUUAUAGCUUAUCCACAGCCAAGACAGUUCACUAGUCAGGCUCACCAGCUUUUUCUCAGACUCAAACAGCUUAACUUCCUAGCUUAUACACGGUCUUAAUGGGCUUAUUUAACGGGCCUCAUAGGCCCAAGUUUGUAAUAAGCCUUUAUCCGAGAACUACAGUCUCGUCUCCUGAAGAACAACAAAGAACACAUCUUUGAUCUUCCCUUAGAGCUCCCUCCCCUGAAUCGCUAAUCUCGUCAUUCGUCUCUCGAAUCCUUAAAAAGGUUAGACCUUUCCCAACCCUUGUAUGAUUCAUCUUCUUUCUAUUACGUAACAUUCAUCUGUUCUUCAGUGAUUGACUCCAAUCUCUCGUUCCUGUAUUACGACUUCGAUGAGCUUCUCAAAUUAGGGUUCUUCCUUUACAUCAAUAAAGUUUCAAACUUUUUGUGUUCUUCCAAUCCAUUUGUGUCUCUAAUGAUGUUGACGAUCUGGGAAUUGGUCAAAAUUUCGAUUUGUUGUUGUUUGAUUUUUUCUUUUUGGGACCAAAGUUGUUGUUUGAUUUUAUGUUCUGUAAUGAAUGUUUUGUUCGUGGGCAUUGUCUAGAACCGUAUGAAGAAACCAUGGAUCCUUGUUGUUUGAUCUUUGUUGUUGUUGUUGUUGUUGUUUGAUUUUAUGUUCUGUAAUGAAUGUUUUGUUCGUGUGCAUUGUCUAGAACCGUAGGAAGAAACCAUGGAUCCUUUUUGUUGUUGUAUUGUUGUUUGAUCUUUGUUAUUGUUGUUGUUGUUUGAUUUUAUGUUCUGUAAUGAAUGUUUUGCUGGUCUGUGCAUUGUCUAGAACGGUAGUAAGGAGCCAUGGAUCCAGCUGAGAUGAGGUACUUGGAAGAAGAGGACGGCCCCAUGAUGAAGACCAUCAAAGGCAGCGUGACUGGCUUCGCCGCAGGGACCAUCUACGGAACCAUUUUGGCCACGUGGAAAGACGUUCCGAGAGUGGAGAGAAACGUGGCUCUUCCGGGGCUGAUCAGGACGCUGAAGAUGAUGGGAACUCACGGGCUCACUUUCGCCGCCAUUGGAGGAGUUUACAUCGGUGUUGAGCAGGUGGUUCAGGGUUAUAGAGGAAAGAGAGAUUUUUUCAAUGGUGCUAUUGGUGGGUUUGUUGCUGGAGCUUCUGUCCUUGGCUACAGAGGUAAAAUGCUUAUGAGUUUUGUCUCAAUGAUAUAAGUAGUUUGGUUGGAACUGAUAUGGUUUCGUUUUUUUUUAUGACAUAGCAAGGAGCAUCCCAACAGCGAUAGCUGCAGGUGCAACACUAGCGGUUACAUCUGCUUUGAUUGACUCUGGAGGACAGACCACAAGAGUAGACAACGGCAGAGAGUAUUAUCCUUACUCCCCUGUUGAGAAAACAGCUCAAGCUGCUGAUGCCUGAUCUCUCUUUUGGCGUCUGAACUUAAUAAAGCUCUGCAUCUGCUUAUCAUGGGCUCUUGAGAUCAUCUCUCUUCCCUGUCCUCUCUUUUUUUUUUUGCCUACUUGUAUCUGGAGAUAUAAAAUUGCUCUUGUUUCCUCCUGUGUUUAUGGAGAGUGACUUGCAUCUUUUGUCUGAACUUUUCCUUCAAUAAAAUAUCAACUCUAUCUUCAAAAUGUUAAAAAAAAUGUUACAGUUUUUAAGUGAUCAGACAUGUACUUGCCUCUGUUACUUCUAUAUUGGUGCUUCUAUCUGAACGUAUAACAGAUGAUGGCUAAGCACAAGAAAAUCUACAUGUCAAAGCUGAGUUGCAUACGUGGCAAUAACUCAUUGGCUGUCUUAAAUUUCCUUGAGCUAUGUCUAAUCUACUGGUUCUCUUGUCCUAGCGUGUGACUAUCACAUCGCAUUAACGAAUUCUUUUUCUUUCUCUCGAGAGACUUCUGCAUCAAUGGCGGGGAUCGCAAGCCCUAGCCCUACGGCUCUUUAUUUCACCAGGUAAAGGCUACUUCCUUAACUCCUUUCUUGAAACAGAACCAAUCAGAUGAAAGUUAAAACUGUUUCGGUUUAUUCUGAUGCAGUAAUCUCGGCGCAAGGAGGUUGAAAGCGGCGAGCUGGUCGGGAAAGAGCCUCCCUGGUAACGUUCUCCGCCGGAGAAGCCUGAGAGUUGCGGCGGAGGUGAAGUUCGUGAACGCAGAGGAAGCAAAGAAGUUGAUAGCAGCGGAAGGUUACAAGGUUGUGGAUGUGAGAGACAAGACUCAGUUCGAGAGAGCUCAUAUAAAGUCUUGCCACCACAUCCCUCUCUUCAUUUUCAACGAAGACAACGAUCUUGGUAACAAACUCAAGCCCCCUCAAACUUGAACAUAACAGUAGAUUCUAACGUGAUGUUUGUCUCUGAUGAAAAUUUGCAGGGACGAUAGUGAAGAGGACAGUGCACAACAACUUCUCAGGGCUCUUCUUUGGUUUGCCUUUCACGAAAUUGAAUCCAGAGUUCGUUAAUUCCGUUAGAAACGAGUUUAAGCAAGAUAGCAAACUUUUAAUUGUUUGCCAAGAAGGUCUCAGGUUAGUGGAAACAAGAUCUUUAUUCACUGAGUAUCUAUGAAUGUAGUAUGAAGAGAAUGUUGAAGUUUCUUUUGUCGUUCUUUGAAAAGAUCUGCAGCUGCAGCUAGUAGAUUGGAGGAAGCAGGUUAUGACAACAUAGCUUGUGUAACAUCAGGGCUACAAUCUGUUAAACCAGGUUUGUUUCCAUUUAGCUUCAUCUAAGAUCAUUUCUUGGUGUUUUGGAGAUUGUUUGGUUAGAGGAAGGACUCUGAACCACUUUUUUUUAUGGUUGUUGUGUCAUUAGGGACAUUUGAAUCGGUUGGUUCAACGGAGUUGCAGAAUGCUGGAAAGGCAGGGCUUAUCACAAUUCAAGGGAAGAUCUCAGCUGUCUUAGGAACAGUGCUCGUCUGUAAGUAAAAUUUUACCUUAGACUAGAGACUGUUGUCUGGUCUUUUCUUCUGGUUUUAUGAACAAGAUUUUGUUGAAACUUGCAGGUGCUUUGUUGUUCAUAACGUUCUUCCCUGACCAAGCAGAGAAGCUGUUUCCUUCAAGCUAAAGACAAGAGAACGACAAUGACUUGAUCCAGAGAAGUUUCCAGAGUUUCAACUUGUUUGUAUGUAGAUGCUCAAGGAACACAAAAAAAUCUUUAAAUAUUUGAAUUUUUGAAGUGGUUACAAAGAACAUAUGGUAUUGAACAAAGUUGUUAUCUGCUUAUAAAACAAUUGAAGAAGAAAAAAAUUCAUACAAUUAAACAGAAAAUUUUGAAAGAAUAUAUGAUCUUACAGAAAGUCUUUGGAUGUAUUAUUUAUAAGAAAUUUAAGAACCAUAUUCGAGAGAAAGUUCUAUAACUUGAAAUGAUACAGAAUUACAGAACAGGUGGUUCCUUUAAACAUAUUCUUCUUGGGAAGUCUUACAUACGUUACACAAGCACUUGGAAGGUAUUGAAGCAAUCCACAGGAUUGCAGACAAGUGGUCGAGCCAUCUCAGCAGCAAAACCAGAACCUUGGCUCAAAUCAACCUUCUGUCCAUCAACACACUUCCAGUCAAAGCGCUGCACCAACGAACCCACACCUGCAUGCAUCACAUUCAUGGCUAGAGACGCUCCCGGACAUCCUCUUCUCCCACUCCCAAACGGAAGGUAACGAAAAUUCUGCCCCUUGAACUCCAUCUGAUGCUCACCUAUCUUCUCUCCAGAGCUCUCUAGAAACCUCUCGGGUAUGAAUUGUUCUGCUUCCUUCCACAGCUCUGGAUCUCUCAUGAUUGCAUAGACGUUUACUAGCACGCGGGUUUUUGACUUGAUAAGACACCCGUUCACCUGGCAGUCCGCUGCGCAUUCUCUUAUGAUCAGAGGAGCUGAAGGGUGGAGCCUAAGUGUUUCCCUUAGGACAGCUCGGAGGUAAGGGAGGUUAGGAACGUCUGAUUCUUUGACUAGUCUUUUGCUUCCAACAACGGUUUCAAUCUCUUCUCUUAGCUUGUUGAACGCUUGUGGAUUGUUUAUUAGUUCCCCCAUUGCCCACUGCAUUGCUGCUGCUGAUGUGUCUGUUCCCGCCAUGAAAACAUCCUAAAGAAUAUUCAGUUGUAUCAUAUCAGAAUCAUCAAAGCUGGAAAUUGGAUUCUAAAUAAUUGUUGCAGGUAGGCUUGCGGGUUUGGUUAAUUCGGUUCAACAUAAAUCUUACCAAAUUCACCCGAAAUAAAGUUCGGUUUGGUAUUUGGUUAGUUAGGUUUUUAAAAAUCCUACAAAAAGAUUUUAAUUUUGUUAAAAAAUUUGGAUAAAUUUGGUUAGUUCGAUUAUUUUGGUUCGAAAUUUGAUUAGUUGGGUUCGGGUUUUAACCAUUACAGAAUCGAACUAAAAACCAAUUUUAUAGAAAACCUACCAAACCAAACCAAAAGUUCGGUUCGGUUCGGCGGGUAUGGUUGGUUUAAAAUCCAAGGACUAGUUGCAGGUGAGAGGAAACAUACCAACAGGAAAGACUUCAUGUCAUUCCUCGUUAUCUUCAAUUCAGCAGUGGGGUCUCUGUAAGUCUCCAACAACAUAUCCAAAAUGUCUUUUCUCAUACCUUCUUUCUUCAUCCCCAUUGCCUCACGUUCCUUCAUGAUCUUCUCUACAAGCAGAUCAUACUUCUCCAUUACAGCUACUAACUUCUUCCCAUUACCUGAAAAAUCAAGUACUUUCAAUGGCCCCAACACAUCUCCAACGCUGACCUUCCCCGCAAGCUCCAAACAUGUCUUCACCAGCUUCCUAAUCUCCUCCGCUUCAUUAUCAGUACCCGAACACCUCGUGCUCAUCGCCAUCCUGCAGAUGAUAUUGUUGGUGUAACUCACGAACAUGCUACUCAAGUCACAAGGCAACCCUUCUCUGCAACACUUGGCCACAGACUCGACCAGCUUCAGUUUCUCCUCCUCACGGAUGUCAGAGAACUUCUCAAGCUGCGGAACAGCGAGAAGCUUGGUCAUGCAGAGCUUCUUCAUGAACCUCCAGUAAUCACCGUACUGCGCGAGGACAAACCUUGACCCUCUAUACUUGAAAUACUCAGCAGAAGCAAACUCAGGUCUCGAGGAGAAAUUAAGCUCUUGGUCUUUGAAGAUCUCUCUCGCCACCGAAGAGCUUGAGACUACAACACACUUAGAAGCACCGAGACGUAUCUCCAUGAGCGGGCCAUGCUUGCGAGCUAGGCUCUGGAAUGAGACAGGCAGCACUUUGCCUAUCAAAUGAAGGUGGCCAAUCAAUGGUAAAGCUGAAGGGCUCUGUGGCAGCUUUGUCGCAGCCGUUGAACUCUGCUUCUUAGAGGAGAACCAUUUGAAGAAAGCAUUAAGCAUGAAAGCAAAAACGAAGGAUGUGAUGAGGAGAAGGUUAGUGCUUAGUUGAAGAUCCAUUGCAGGUUUAUUGAUUCAGUUCUUGAAGUAUGCUUUGUAUUUAUUAUGCUCAUUGACGAAUCUUGUUAAUUAGAUUCUCAUUGUAAAGAAAACAAACAACAAUUGUAUAAAAUAUCAAGUAUGGAUUAUUAUAAGAGAAAUUAUUGUUAAAUCUCUCCUGGUGAAGCCACCUCAGCGUCCACGUCAUAAAGUCGGCUUCUGUCGAAGCAACACGUGUCCCACCCCAAAACGCAGCACUUCUUCAUCUAGAUCACGUCUGGACUUCUAAAUUUAACGCAUAUGUUUAGUGGUAUGGGCUUUAGAUCGGACAGUUUCUUUGGCCCUAAUCUAUUUUCGUGAUGUUGUGUGUUAUUCACUGAGAGCGUUAUGGUUUUUACAUGUUAGAGCAUCAUUAUCCCUAAGAGACACUUAGGAACUCUUAAGCUCUUUUUAAUAUUUUUAAGUAUUAAAAGUGAAUUAAGAGACAACAUUAAGAAACCCAAAUAUUUUUAUGCUCCAUUGCAAGGUUCUUAAUUAAGAGUUUAAAAAAAAAAUUAUUUUGGGAAGAAGAUGCCAUGAGAUGAAAAUUGUUUAUAAAACAUGAAUCUUUACCACAUACAAUGUCAAUAAUGUUCAAACUUCUGCUACAAAGUACCAAUAAGAAGACCUACAUGUAGAGAGAUAUACUGAAUGUGAUGAGUAUUAUUGAUGGAGAGAGUUACAAUAUAUACACAUACAUAGAAGAUCAUACGAGAUCCUAGAGAGAGAUAUAAGGGUAUAUUCUCCUAUAUACUAGUAACCAUAUACAACAGUAUGUACUUAUCCCUUAUACUCCUAUACGCCCCCGCAAGAUGAGCGACCGUUAGAGAGCCCAAUCUUGGAAUUCAAAUCUUCAAGUCGAGGUCUGGGCAACGGUUUUGUCAGUGCGUCCGCAAGUUGAUCUCUGGAAGAGACAUGAGUCACGCGUAGCAGACGAGACUGAACCAGUUGACGAACAAAGUGAUAGUCUAAAGCAACGUGCUUCAUACGAGAGUGGAAGACCGGGUUCGCCGCAAGAUAGGUGGCGCCAACAUUGUCACAGUAGAUAACUGGUUGAGAGGAAGUUGAGAUACCAAGCUCCGUCAUUAAAUGAGCAACCCAACAGAGCUCAGCCGCAGUGUCCGCAACUGAUCUGUACUCCGCUUCCGUAGAAGAACGAGCUGGUGUUUUCUGCUUCUUCGAGGACCAGACAAUCGGAUGAGAGCCAAGGUAGACAAUGUAAGCACCAGUGGAGGUGUAGUCGUCACGAUUACCAGCCCAAUCAGCAUCGGAGUAAGCAUGAAGACUCAGAAUGUUGUUGCUCCGAAGAAAAAUACCUUGAUCUCGCGUGCCAGAGAGAUAACGAAGAACACGUUUGGCUGCUUGCCAAUGUUCAUCUGUCGGACAGUGCAUGAACUGAGACAGUUUGUUUACUGCAAAGGCAACGUCUGGGCGUGUGAAGUGUAGAUACUGCAGACUGCCCACAACUGUGCGAUAUUCACGACCAUCAGCCAGCGCAUAGCCUGAGUUGAGUUGCAGUGACCGAGAGGAAGCCAUUGGUGUUGAUACAGGAGUGGCAUCAAGCAUGUUGCAGCGAGCUAAGAGGUCAGUGAUAUAUUUCUGUUGCGUGAGAAGGAGGCCACGUUCUGUUCUGUGCGCUUCAAUUCCUAGAAAAUAAUUCAGAUCACCCAUGUCUUUUAGGGAGAAGCGAUUGCCCAGCUGUGCUACGAACUUGUCAAUUGCUUUGAUGCUGUUUCCAGUGAUGACAAUGUCAUCGACAUAUAUAAGAACGUAAAGCGUUAUUCCUUGGCUAUUAAAGAUAAAGAGCGAUGCGUCAGCAAGGGAAUUGGUGAAGCCAGAGACAAGAAGAAAAGUACGCAGCUCCAAGUACCAAGCUCGUGGAGCCUGUUUCAAGCCGUACAAGGCUUUACGUAGUUUGCAGACGUGGUGGGGCUUGUCACGAUCGACGAAACCGGCAGGUUGAGCAAUGUAAACAUCUUCAUUGAGUUUUCCUUGUAAGAACGCGUUGUUAACAUCGAGUUGACGAAGAGCCCAACCUUGAGCGACUGCCUGGCCAAGAACAAGUCUGACAGUAGCUGCCUUUAUGACAGGACUAAAAGUCUCUGCAUAGUCCACUCCAGGUCUCUGAUGACACCCCUUAGCAACAAAUCUGGAUUUAUACUUGUCAAUCUUGCCGUUAGGGAGCCGCUUUAUACGAUGGAUCCACUUGGUGCCGACAAGUUUAUAAGAAGGAUCAGGAGGAACCAAAUCCCAUGUGCGAUGUCUGAUUUGAGCAUCAUACUCAGAGCCCAUGGAUGCACGCCACUUCUCAUCUUUUAGUGCCUGAGCUACAGACGUUGGCUCUGUCUCCAAUACUGCGGUAGUGAGCAUCGCAAACUUCUUGCUGGGUUUGGUGAUCUGAUUUUUAGAGCGAGUGACCAUGGAGUGUGUGUUUGUUGACGUGGACGUCGCCGGUGCUGGUAGAGGAACAGAGGAGUUAGAUGUCGUGUUGACGUUUGUUGGGAUGUUCUGUUUCAUUGUAUCAGCUGCUGUGUUCACUGGUGCUGGUGUCGGUGAAGGAUCCGAACCUAGGGGCGGCUCAACAGCUUGCGACGGUGAAUUGGAAUGACCAGAGACCUGCAACGAAGGAGGAAACCAAAGAGUAACAGAAGAAGGAGCUUGUGGAGAAGGAGGAAUGAGAUUUUUGUGAGGAAAGAUGGUUUCAUGGAAUUGCACAUGUCUGGAGAUAAAAAUUCUUUUGGAGGAUGGUUCAAGACAGAGGUAGGCACUUUGGGUUUGAGAGUAGCCAAGAAAGAUGCAGGGUUUUGAUCUUGGCUCCAGUUUGUGUUUGGUGUAUGGUCUUAACCAAGGGUAACAGAGGCAACCGAACACACGAAGUUUAGUGUAGUUCGGAGACGAGCCAUUAAGGCAUUCAAAAGGAGAAGAGUUGGAUAAGGUGGAGGUAGGGAGGCGAUUUAUGAGAUAAGACGCAGCUGCAAGAGCGUAGCUCCAGUAUAUUAAAGGAAGAGAAGCAUGAGAUAGAAGAGCCAAGCCUGUUUCAACUAGAUGACGAUGACGUCUUUCAGCAAACCCGUUAUGCUCGGGUGUAUGAGGAGGAGAAGUGAGAUGUGUGAUGCCAUUUUCGGCUAGAAAGUUGCGCAUGGCAAUGUACUCUCCCCCAUUGUCCGAAUAGAAAGUGAUUAUUCGGUGGUUAAACUUGUUUUCAACAAGACUUUUGAAGCGAGUGAAAGUGGGUAGGACAUCAGAUUUGUGGCGCAAAGGGUAAAGCCAAACAUAAUGGGUAAAAUGAUCAACAAAAAUCACAUAAUAUUUGUACCCAUCGAUGGAAUGAACUGGAGAGGUCCAAACAUCAGAAAAGAGUAAUUCAAGAGGUUUGGUGGAUGUAAGAGUGGAGGCUGAAAAAGGCAUUUUGUGACUUUUUGAGGUGGAGCAAGCAUUGCAUAAAAGAGAAGAAUCUUUAUUAAGAACAGGCAAAGCAUAAUGAGAGACAACUGAUUUUAAAACUGAAACAGAUGGGUGCCCAAGACGAGACUGCCAAAUUGGCAAGGGACUUUUUAUUGUUGCAGAGAAAACACAAAAACGAGAAUCAUUCAAAGCUGGCCAUUCGUAUCCACCAUUAGUCGUCUUUCCUUGGAUUAAUUGCGCCCCCGAGUUGAGAUCCUUCACCUGAAAAGCAUUGGGGAAGAAUUCCACCGAAACAAAAUUAUCAGUACACAGUUUCUUUACUGAAAUCAGGUUUCUUGCAAUAGACGGUACAGUCAAAACAUUCUGAAGAGAUAAAGUAGGAGUGGAAUGAGGAAGAGAAACUGAACCCGUGUGUGUGAUUUGGAGUCCUUCUCCAUUUCCUACCAUCACCUCUUCAGCUCCAUUAUAUGGAGAGUGUAGCGCAAGGUUAGCAAGGUCAGAUGUGAUGUGGUGAGUCGCACCACUGUCUAAGAGCCAAGACGAUGGAUCAGGUGGCAUGGUGGAAGCAUUGUAUGCUCGUGGAGACCAGUUUUGGGCUCCUUUGGCACGAGAUGAUGCAGAUUGCGCCUGUUGUUGUUGUUGCACAAGACGAAACAGAGGACAAAACUUAGCGCUAUGACCUUGUGUUCCGCACGCUUGACACUUCCCCAAGUAUGGACGACGAUUGUUGUUUUGAUUCCUUGGUGCAGAAUUGGUGUGCUCCUGAGUAUUAUUUGAGCGCCAGUUGCGGUUUUGGUUCUGGUUCUGCACAAAGUUUGCUGUCACAGGGAAGGAAGGUGGUUGUUGAGCACUGUUGAUGGCUAUCUCCCGAUGUAGAAGCUUCUCGUGAAGUUCAUAGAAGGAGAUUGGUGUGUCUCGGCUGUGAAUCGACUCAAUCAAAGAUUUGUAGUCAUCACCAAGGCCUUCAAGAACUAGAUCCGUCAGAUCUUCAGGAUCUACUGGACUGCCGAGCAGGGCAAGAGCAUCAGCUUUAGAUUUGAUAAGUUGCAUAUAACCAUCGAUGUCUUUAGUUCCUUUAACGCAUAGUUUAAGCUGUUGUUUGAGCUGUUUGAUGUGACCUCUUGUAGGUUUGCCGUAGGUGGUCGUGAGGGUGUUCCAUGCUUCAAGGGUUGAGCGUGAGGUGGCGAUGAGAGGUUGGAGAGAAAUUUCAAUAGUUCCCAUGAGGGCACUAAAGAGAAGACUGUCCUGUCGUUGCCAUGCUUUGAGAGAAGGGUUAGGAGCUUCGUUGCCAUCGACGAUGACGGUGGGAGAGGGUGGUUCGACGGUAUUGUCAAUGAACUUGACGAGGUCAUACCCUCUGAGAAGAGAAGUGAUUUGAACGCUCCAGGUUAAAUAGUUUGUCGCAGACAGUUUGGUGAUAUUGACCAUGUUGAUUGUGGCGAUGGGGUUUUGUGGAUCAGAUCGGUCAAUGAUGUGGGAAGCGUUGGAGGAGGAGGAGGUCGAGUCCAUGAUGGAGUCGAGAAAAAAAAAAAAAAAAAAANNNNNNNNNNNNNNNNNNNNNNNNNNNNNNNNNNNNNNNNNNNNNNNNNNNNNNNNNNNNNNNNNNNNNUAUAAAAAUCAUAAUUUACGUUGGUGUUUGUAAUUCCUUUGUAUUGUAUUUUUCUUAAAUAUAUUUAAAACAUUUUUAUAAUGGUUAUAAAAAUAUUUUAGUAAAAUCAAUUUUUGAAUAUAUGUAUAUUUUGAAUCAAUUUUUGGUAUAAAUAAAUUUUAAAUUAAUAUUUUGAUUUGAAAUAUGUAUAUAAAAUUUAAAUUUUGUUUUAUGAUUAUCUUAGACAAAGAUGUUUUUAGGUAAUUGGAUUGGACCAGUUAUUUUUGUAUAUUUUAAAGCUAGCCCAUAUAUAUAGUUUUCAUAAUAUAAUGAAUUUUCAAUUUUUCUUGAUAACAUAAAUCUAUUAUUUUUUUUUUAAUAUAUUGAUAUUCAUGUUUUCAAACAAUGCUAUAUUUUUUUAACUGUUAUCUAUAUUGCCAAACAAAAAUUUAAAGUUCUUCUGGUUUAAUAAGAUAGAUACAAUAAAAUAAUAUUCUCCGCGAUCUAUUAUAGUAUGAGAAUAGAUAUGAUUCCAAGUUGUUAACGAUCUAAUUCAUUUUCUUUCUUUUUCUGGAAAAAAGUAACAUUUAUUUUUUCCAGAACUUCAUUGAGUACAUAUGAAAUUAUACAUUUUCAUUCAAGCCUUUUCACUUCUUUUUUUUACAAAAAAGUUAAGAUAAAAUCACCAUGGUUAUCUCUUCCACAGCAACUCUCCGCCUCUCAUUGAUGAGUCACCUCCAAAUCUCAUUUUCUCUCCUCCCUUGUGCUAUCCUCAAACAACAGCAAAACAACUAUAAUAUGUAAACUGGGCCAAGCUUGCAAAACUCAAUUACAGCCAAAUCCAUCAUCUGGCACAUUCAUCAUACACAUGAACCAGCAAUACUCAAUUACAGCCAAAUUGGAAUUUUACUGAGAUUGUCCAGUGAACUUAUGGAAACACCUAGAAAUGGAUAACUCGUGUGUUUGUUUUGUGAUGAAAUUCAUAAAUCAUUACCGUGCGAUUUAAAACAAAAAAGACAUUAGUAAACUGAAGAAUUAAUUAAACAAUUUCAAUACGAACUUAUGGGAGGCUUUAAGAUAAUAUUUAUUCAAUAUUUUAGUAUAGAUACAUCAUCUCUCAGACAGGACAUGACACACUCAGUUAAACCAGAAGAGGAAACACACAACACACACAAAAACUCGAACCAUGGUCAGAGAAUGCUUGAAUCAGCCAGAUAUCUGAACAGAUCUGACACUAGCCUUCUCCGUCUCUACCUUAGGCACCGUCACAGUCAGGACUCCGUUCUCCAACGCAGCCUUCACCUGGUCCAUCUUCACGUUCUCCGGCAGCCUAAACUUCCUCGUGAACUGUCCCCUCGACCUCUCCACGCGGUGCCACGUGUCGCUCUUGUCCUCCUUCUCCACGUGCCUCUGACCACUGAUCUUCAACACGUUGUUGUCCUCAACCUCGACCUUCACUUCCUCCUUCUUCAGUCCAGGUAAGUCCGCCUUGAACACGUCCGCCUCCGGCGUCUCCCUCCAGUCCACGCGCGCGUUCACGAUCGCAGAGUUUUCUCGGGAAAACGAAGAAGAUGAUGAAAAGUCCUUGAACGGGUCCCAAACAUCUAGAGAAAACGGAUCGAAGAAGCUGCUGCUGCCACGCCUGUUGUUUCCAAAGAAGCUCGGAAUCAUCGACAUUUUCAGUUGAAUUUUGUUUUCUUCAAAGGUUGUUGGUUUUUCUUGAAUUUGAUUCUCACUCUUGAAAGAACAGAGAGUAUCGAGGAAUCUAUUUAUAGGAACGAAACGAAAUAUCUGGAGCUUCUCGAAUUGUUCUCCACUCCCACUGAUUCUCUCCAGCUUACAAGCAUCUAGAAGACCCCAAAACAAAAAUAUCAGGUAUUUCGUGGGCUAGAUUUGAUAGCCUCUGAAAUGGGCCCUGUCUUAGUUCUCAGAUUACGAUUUGAUCUAACUAGCAGCUCCAAUCCAACGGUGUUUGGAGACUUGAUCGAAAAUUGAUUACACUUGUUACAUCCAAACAAUCAUCAUUUGGUGUUUCUAUGUAUAUCAUAUGGCAAGCAUAGGGAUGGGAAACUUUACACAAAUCUAUGAUCUACAUUAAUAAUUAGAAUUGGGAAAAAAAUUGCAUCAAACUCGAACGAGGCAAAUCCAAAAUUUUGUAAUUGAAAAACCACAAAAGUCAAAACACAAAAUGUCAAACAUUCAAACUCGAACUGAAAUAUUUUGGUUACCUGUGUAGAGAGAUAUACUGAAUGUGAUGAGUAUUAUUGAUGGAGAGAGUUACAAUAUAUACACAUACAUAGAGGAUCAUACGAGAUCCUAGAGAGAGAUAUGAGGGUAUAUUCUCCUAUAUACUAGUAACCAUAUACAACAGUAUGUACUUAUCCCUAUACUCCUAUACGCCCCCGCAAGAUGAGCGACCGUUAGAGAGCCCAAUCUUGGAAUUCAAAUCUUCAAGUCGAGGUCUGGGCAACGGUUUUGUCAGUGCGUCCGCAAGUUGAUCUCUGGAAGAGACAUGAGUCACGCGUAGCAGACGAGACUGAACCAGUUGACGAACAAAGUGAUAGUCUAAAGCAACGUGCUUCAUACGAGAGUGGAAAACCGGGUUCGCCGCAAGAUAGGUGGCGCCAACAUUGUCACAGUAGAUAACUGGUUGAGAGGAAGUUGAGAUACCAAGCUCCGUCAUUAAAUGAGCAACCCAACAGAGCUCAGCCGCAGUGUCCGCAACUGAUCUGUACUCCGCUUCCGUAGAAGAACGAGCUGGUGUUUUCUGCUUCUUCGAGGACCAGACAAUCGGAUGAGAGCCAAGGUAGACAAUGUAAGCACCAGUGGAGGUGUAGUCGUCACGAUUACCAGCCCAAUCAGCAUCGGAGUAAGCAUGAAGACUCAGAGUGUUGUUGCUCCGAAGAAAAAUACCUUGAUCUCGCGUGCCAGAGAGAUAACGAAGAACACGUUUGGCUGCUUGCCAAUGUUCAUCUGUCGGACAGUGCAUGAAUUGAGACAGUUUGUUUACUGCAAAGGCAACGUCUGGGCGUGUGAAGUGUAGAUACUGCAGACUGCCCACAACUGUGCGAUAUUCACGACCAUCAGCCAGCGCAUAGCCUGAGUUGAGUUGCAGUGACCGAGAGGAAGCCAUUGGUGUUGAUACAGGAGUGGCAUCAAGCAUGUUGCAGCGAGAUAAGAGGUCAGUGAUAUAUUUCUGUUGCGUGAGAAGGAGGCCACGUUCUGUUCUGUGCGCUUCAAUUCCUAGAAAAUAAUUCAGAUCACCCAUGUCUUUUAGGGAGAAGCGAUUGCCCAGCUGUGCUACGAACUUGUCAAUUGCUUUGAUGCUGUUUCCAGUGAUGACAAUGUCAUCGACAUAUAUAAGAACGUAAAGCGUUAUUCCUUGGCUAUUAAAGAUAAAGAGCGAUGCGUCAGCAAGGGAAUUGGUGAAGCCAGAGACAAGAAGAAAAGUACGCAGCUCCAAGUACCAAGCUCGUGGAGCCUGUUUCAAGCCGUACAAGGCUUUACGUAGUUUGCAGACGUGGUGGGGCUUGUCACGAUCGACGAAACCGGCAGGUUGAGCAAUGUAAACAUCUUCAUUGAGUUUUCCUUGUAAGAACGCGUUGUUAACAUCGAGUUGACGAAGAGCCCAACCUUGAGCGACUGCCUGGCCAAGAACAAGUCUGACAGUAGCUGCCUUUAUGACAGGACUAAAAGUCUCUGCAUAGUCCACUCCAGGUCUCUGAUGACACCCCUUAGCAACAAAUCUGGAUUUAUACUUGUCAAUCUUGCCGUUAGGGAGCCGCUUUAUACGAUGGAUCCACUUGGUGCCGACAAGUUUAUAAGAAGGAUCAGGAGGAACCAAAUCCCAUGUGCGAUGUCUGAUUUGAGCAUCAUACUCAGAGCCCAUGGAUGCACGCCACUUCUCAUCUUUUAGUGCCUGAGCUACAGACGUUGGCUCUGUCUCCAAUACUGCGGUAGUGAGCAUCGCAAACUUCUUGCUGGGUUUGGUGAUCUGAUUUUUAGAGCGAGUGACCAUGGAGUGUGUGUUUGUUGACGUGGACGUCGCCGGUGCUGGUAGAGGAACAGAGGAGUUAGAUGUCGUGUUGUCAUUUGUUGGGAUGUUCUGUUCCAUUGUAUCAGCUGCUGUGUUCACCGGUGCUGGUGUCGGUGAAGGAUCCGAACCUAGGGGCGGCUCAACAGCUUGCGACGGUGAAUUAGAAUGACCAGAGACCUGCAACAAAGGAGGAAACCAAAGAGUAACAGAAGAAGAAGCUUGUGGAGAAGGAGGAAUGAGAUUUUUGUGAGGAAAGAUGGUUUCAUGGAAUUGCACAUGUCUGGAGAUAAAAAUUCUUUUGGAGGAUGGUUCAAGACAGAGGUAGGCACUUUGGGUUUGAGAGUAGCCAAGAAAGAUGCAGGGUUUUGAUCUUGGCUCCAGUUUGUGUUUGGUGUAUGGUCUUAACCAAGGGUAACAGAGGCAACCGAACACACGAAGUUUAGUGUAGUUCGGAGACGAGCCAUUAAGGCAUUCAAAAGGAGAAGAGUUGGAUAAGGUGGAGGUAGGGAGGCGAUUUAUGAGAUAAGACGCAGCUGCAAGAGCGUAGCUCCAGUAUAUUAAAGGAAGAGAAGCAUGAGAUAGAAGAGCCAAGCCUGUUUCAACUAGAUGACGAUGACGUCUUUCAGCAAACCCGUUAUGCUCGGGUGUAUGAGGAGGAGAAGUGAGAUGUGUGAUGCCAUUUUCGGCUAGAAAGUUGCGCAUGGCAAUGUACUCUCCCCCAUUGUCCGAAUAGAAAGUGAUUAUUCGGUGGUUAAACUUGUUUUCAACAAGACUUUUGAAGCGAGUGAAAGUGGGUAGGACAUCGGAUUUGUGGCGCAAAGGGUAAAGCCAAACAUAAUGGGUAAAAUGAUCAACAAAAAUCACAUAAUAUUUGUACCCAUCGAUGGAAUGAACUGGAGAGGUCCAAACAUCAGAAAAGAGUAAUUCAAGAGGUUUGGUGGAUGUAAGAGUGGAGGCUGAAAAAGGCAUUUUGUGACUUUUUGAGGUGGAGCAAGCAUUGCAUAAAAGAGAAGAAUCUUUAUUAAGAACAGGCAAAGCAUAAUGAGAGACAACUGAUUUUAAAACUGAAACAGAUGGGUGCCCAAGACGAGACUGCCAAAUUGGCAAGGGACUUUUUAUUGUUGCAGAGAAAACACAAAAACGAGAAUCAUUCAAAGCUGGCCAUUCGUAUCCACCAUUAGUCGUCUUUCCUUGGAUUAAUUGCGCCCCCGAGUUGAGAUCCUUCACCUGAAAAGCAUUGGGGAAGAAUUCCACCGAAACAAGAUUAUCAGUACACAGUUUCUUUACUGAAAUCAGGUUUCUUGCAAUAGAAGGUACAGUCAAAACAUUCUGAAGAGAUAAAGUAGGAGUGGAAUGAGGAAGAGAAACUGAACCCGUGUGCGUGAUUUGGAGUCCUUCUCCAUUUCCUACCAUCACCUCUUCAGCUCCAUUAUAUGGAGAGUGUAGCGCAAGGUUAGCAAGGUCAGAUGUGAUGUGGUGAGUCGCACCACUGUCUAAGAGCCAAGACGACGGAUCAGGUGGCAUGGUGGAAGCAUUGUAUGCUCGUGGAGACCAGUUUUGGGCUCCUUUGGCACGAGAUGAUGCAGAUUGCGCCUGUUGUUGUUGUUGCACAAGGCGAAACAGAGGACAAAACUUAGCGCUAUGACCUUGUGUUCCGCACGCUUGACACUUCCCCAAGUAAGGACGACGAUUGUUGUUUUGAUUCCUUGGUGCAGAAUUGGUGUGCUCCUGAGUAUUAUUUGAGCGCCAGUUGCGGUUUUGGUUCUGGUUCUGCACAAAGUUUGCUGUCACAGGGAAGGAAGGUGGUUGUUGAGCACUGUUGAUGGCUAUCUCCCGAUGUAGAAGCUUCUCGUGAAGUUCAUAGAAGGAGAUUGGUGUGUCUCUGCUGUGAAUCGACUCAAUCAAAGAUUUGUAGUCAUCACCAAGGCCUUCAAGGACUAGAUCCGUCAGAUCUUCAGGAUCUACUGGACUGCCGAGCAGGGCAAGAGCAUCAGCUUUGGAUUUGAUAAGUUGCAUAUAACCAUCGAUGUCUUUGGUUCCUUUAACGCAUAGUUUAAGCUGUUGUUUGAGCUGUUUGAUGUGACCUCUUGUAGGUUUGCCGUAGGUGGUCGUGAGGGUGUUCCAUGCUUCAAGGGUUGAGCGUGAGGUGGCGAUGAGAGGUUGGAGAGAAAUUUCAAUAGUUCCCAUGAGGGCACUAAAGAGAAGACUGUCCUGUCGUUGCCAUGCUUUGAGAGAAGGGUUAGGAGCUUCGUUGCCAUCGACGAUGACGGUGGGAGAGGGUGGUUCGACGGUAUUGUCAAUGAACUUGACGAGGUCAUACCCUCUGAGAAGAGAAGUGAUUUGAACGCUCCAGGUUAAAUAGUUUGUCGCAGACAGUUUGGUGAUAUUGACCAUGUUGAUUGUGGCGAUGGGGUUUUGUGGAUCAGAUCGGUCAAUGAUGUGGGAAGCGUUGGAGGAGGAGGAGGUCGAGUCCAUGAUGGAGUCGAGAAAAAAAAAAAAAAAAAAAUUGGAGGAUCUGUUGUUUUAACAAGAUCGCUCUGAUACCAUGUAGAGAGAUAUACUGAAUGUGAUGAGUAUUAUUGAUGUAGAGAGUUACAAUAUAUACACAUACAUAGAAGAUCAUACGAGAUCCUAGAGAGAGAUAUAAGGGUAUAUUCUCCUAUAUACUAGUAACCAUAUACAACAGUAUGUACUUAUCCCUUAUACUCCUAUACUACAUGAAUUCAGGUUAAAAAUCUUCAGUGUCCAUCAAUCACUGAACCCCUAAGACUCAAAACGCUGAGAGAGAUGCAUAGGGUCAAAAGAACUUACUUUCCAUUAAGUCCCAGUGAAAGACCAGCAAGAACAACGUACGUACCAAAUGCCAUAAAGGGAAUGUACAAGUCUGGCGCAUUGAUAUCAUAGAUGGGAGGCUUGUAUGAGAGCCUACCUCUAACUGGUUCAGAGAUUCUAGCCAAGUGUCCCUGAUUGUUUGAAGCAAAACACGAACUAGUUUUAAUUAAUGGCUGGUCUGAGAUGUUAAUUGAUUUAACUACCACACCAAACAAACAAAAUAGCAAGGUCGGCUCCACAAUUCACCUUGAGGUUUGAUAAGAAACGAUCAUUACAAAACUUAAAGAUGAUCUGACAAAAAAUAUUUAUUGCUUUGUAAUAAGAGAACAAACCAGUCCGUGCUCAGCUCAACGCGUGCCCCUGAGAAGAGGAUAUCAAGAGCUUCAGAGAUUGAUCGGGACGGAGGAGGCGUUGGGGAGGAAGGUCGGGACGGAGGAGGGUGAAGCGACUGAGAUGGCGGCGAUUCCGGUGGUGGAAGUUUCGAAAUCAAACAGAAUCAGUCCUUUCGGAAGAGAAAGAGAGAUGAGAGAUGAGAGAUGAGAGAGAGACAGAGACAGAGACAUCGCGUUAUGGUGACACCUGUCACUAAGAGGCGGACCUUCCAGGCCUUACGCAAGAGGCAACUCUUGGGCUUAUGUGUUUUGUUAAUUAUUUUAAAAUUGGAUUUGGGGGUAAGAGUUGGGUUAAGAGUCAGCGAUAAUGCUGCUCUUAAUCUCCAUUAAUUCAGACGAGUUCUUCAAUGGUUCUUUUAGAUCUGAUAGGCGGUAUAAAUAGAUGUGAGUAUUCUCCCCGCUCGAUGUGCUCAGAACUUCAAGCUUUCCAACUCCUCUUUACUGAUUCGGUUCAAUGAUUCAACCGAUUUUGACGAGUUCACCGAACCGGUCUAUCCGUUACCUGAAGAAGGAUCUCGGUUCCAUAACUAAAUCGAGAUGGUUGGAUUAGCUAACACAAACACACAGCUUCCAGGUACGGACAUGAUUUGUAUAUAUAUAUAUAUAUGGUCUUAUUAUGUAUCUGGGCUUUGUGUUCCAUAUAUUGGUAUCGGUUUAUCCAUGUAACAUACUAAUUUCGAUCUCAAUUUCCGUAUCACUCUGGGCACAACUGGAGGAAGAAGAAAGAUGGUAAAAUGGUGAAAGAGGCUCACGAAAAGCUCAAGGUUAAUAACUUUUCUCUCGGUGCUCUACUAAUAUAUUCUUUAGAAUAUAAAUAUCCAACCAUCUCAACAUUAUAUUGUUCCUUUUUAAAGUGAGUUCUCUUUUUUUUUUUAAUGGUGGUUUUGAUAAGUUCAUGCUAUUUAUACAGGGUAAUAGGAUAAGCUCCAGUGGAAUAAAAGAAAACAAUUCAAAUUCAUUGCUGUGAAUAUUGAUUCAACGGCAAACACAUCCAGAACAUUGUCACCACUAUGUGAAGAUGUUGAUUCUGGUAUACAUAGUUAUCUUUAGCUUUAUGUCUGUUUAGGGUCAUAGUUCUAUUUACAGGCACCUUGCUGUACUAAAAGUUUUACCUCUUCCCUUUCUAGGAAACCGAGAUGGUUGGAUUCAUGGGAAUAGAGUAAAAGAAAACAACUCCCAAAGAUUGAUGGGUGUCCCAGCAUUAGAUGCUUCCUUUGAGAAUCCGUUGGCAAGAUACCAGAACCUACCUUAUAAUCCUCUGUUGACUCAGGCAAAUCCUUCUAAUGCUGGAUUAGUGUCUGUGGAAGGGCAUCUCAGAAAUCCUCUUCAAAACCAAGAAAUUGGCAGGUAUUGUAUCUUAACUUAUCUAAUAUAAAAGUAGAUUGAUUAUAUGUGAGAGAGGAUCAGUAUUGAUUGACAGAAAGAUUCUCCUCUCUCUGUAGAAUCCAGUUCAGGACAGCUUUCCACUGCAAAAAUGGCCCGUGGACUCCCAUGGUACUGACCUGGCCUUACAUGAGAAUUUCGAGACGUUUUCGAGUCUUAUCGACGGUCAAAACCAGCAGCAGCCUACCGGGAGUAGUUUUCAAGCUCCGUUUUCAUGGACCUGGACCUCUAGACUCUCUCUAUCGACCGUUUCUAUAAUCUUAGGCAUCGAUGUCUUGCUAGCGGUAACGUCCAAGCACGCUACGUGCGAGGAAUUCAGAAAUAUUUUCGAAAUGACAACCCAAUCGAUGGCAUGUACCAUUUAUGAUUAUCGGCAGAUAUUUAUUAUGAAGAUGAUGUUUACUUAUAUGGCAUCAUCAUGUUGUGCAGGGUGAGCAAGCUGUCGGUCGUGCCUACCUCGACAUGCUUGGCUGGAGGGAGUCUCCAACUAAAUUAGACGGAUGCUAGAGGCGAAUUAAAUCUUCGCUUCAGGUAUUGCUGUUGCGACACUCCCGGUUUACACGGCGACUUACCAAGAGACAAGAACUGCUAUUACAUGUCACCGUAAUAAUAUUGGUCGAAGAUGCGAGCUGUGCUUCUACUUUAGACAGAUGCGAGGCUUUAAUAUUUAACAUAUUUAGACAGUCCAUUGCCUAUCAGAUGGAAAUUAGAAGGCCUUCCAUUCUAAAUGUCAACAACCAGAAACUUAUUUUAUAGCAAAAAAAAUGUUCGAAUAGAGACAAGUUAAAAUUAUCUAUAAAUUAAAUUUUAAAACAUACAAAUAAUUUACUAAACAUUUAUUAUACAUAAGAUAAUAAACAUGUUCAUCUUAUAAUACUUAUAAAAAUGUUACUAAUUGAUAAUGUGAAGAAUAAAAUUAUCAAAUUAUCCACACAUUAAAACAUACAAAUAAUUUACUAAACAAUUAUUAUACAUAGGAUAAAAUAAUCAAAAUGUUAAUAAUUCAUCUUAUAAUACUUUAUAAAUUAUAAAAUGUAUAUUAAAUAUUUACUAUAACUAUUUAAAUCAUUUUUAAAUUAUCAUUCCGCCCAUAAGACGGGCCGGCCCUAGUAUUUUAUAUGACAUAGUUAAUCGUGAGGCUACGUAAGUCUCUGUUAUCUUAAAAUCAUACAAGAUUAUUAUUCUUACUUUUUAGGAACUAAAAAUAUGAUUUUAUGCCUCACAUGAUAUAUAAUGCAAUUACAUAUGUUUUUUUUUAUAAUGCAACUAAAAGUUUCUUGAAUAAUGGUUCAACAAUAGCUUUAAGUUUCUCUCUAUGCUCUCCGAAGAGAUUUCACUUCAUCAUUCUUUGCAAUCUUAGUUUGCAAGUCCAGUAAAGCUUCAAUCAUUUUCUUCUGAUGAGAUGUAAAAGCGUCCAAGAUCUCCUUCUGAGAAUUAAUAAGCUGUCAAAGAAAACAUUUCACAUUACUCACUAAUAUUGUCUAUACAAAAAAAAACUUAUUAUAAAUUAAAACAAGUCUUAGCUAUGUCAGAAUUGGAAGAACUGGUGAUUCACUGUAAACUUGCUCCUUGUGCUCAGAUUAACAAUCAAUACGCGAAUCAUUCGAAAAAAUACCAAUCAAUUGCUGAUGUUUGAUCAAAAAGUGAUCAACUUUGUGAAAUGUAAUUAUAAGUGAGUAAGGGAAGUGCGUCGUAAACAGUUUAAAAAAAACACUUAAUUCAACAUGAACAUCACUAUAAACAAAACAAAGAUGCUAAAAGGUGGUGUAGUGGCGCCCGAUUCCAUCAGCCAUGCAUUGCUUUGGUUCCGAGCUGUGUUAUUGCCAUAUUAGAACUCUUUGUUGUAUGUUUAUUCCAAACUAUAUAUUUAUGUGUAUGAGUUAGAAAUAAAUUAAACCUUAGUUUUUAUCCAAAAAAAAUAUUUUGGAUUAUUUAUUUUUUUUGUAAAAUAAUUGUUAAAUUUUCUAUUGAUUUAAUUUUUAACGACUUUAAAAUCAUUGAAUUUCCAUUUUAUCAUCCGUCUCACAGAAAGUAUACGCCAAUGAAUUUACCACCUUUUUUACUUGGUUUAUUUCAGAAUUAAAUAUCAGUCUAACUAAAUAUAUAGUAUGCAAUCUUGGUUUAAUGUAAUAAUGGAAAUUUUUAUUAUUAGCUUGACCCAAAAAAACAAAGAUUCUCUAGCUUUCUGAUUAUUACAAUUUGCUAUGUUUCGGCUAAAAAAUAUUCAAGAGUACAUUGUUUCUUUCUUAUCCUUUCUCUCAUUGCUUUCUUUAGUUCUAUAUACGCACACACACCUUGUUGCAAGCUAUAUCAAAUUCUUCUCCUUGUUCAUACACUUGCAGUUAGCUCUGUUCUCAUUCAGAAUCUGUGUAAACCAACAGAAAAGUUCAACCGAUUUACAUAUAAACCUGUCUUUCAGUUUUUUUUUUGGGUUCAAAUGAUCAUUAGGUUACCUUAUACUGUCUUUGUAAAUCUUUGAUGUAAUCCACUGCUAAAUCCAACAUAUCCGCAGUGUUCGUUUGCUGUUAUGUAACAAAAAGACACCAAAAACAUUAAAACCGGUUCAAUGCAAGAGAAAACGAUUUGUUUUAUGAUCAAAACCCAUUACAAUACCUUGUCCAUAUUAGGAACAAGCUCUUGUAGUUUCCUCAUUCGUUCGCUUAUCUUUGUUCUUCUUACCUGACAUGAGUAACAAAAGAGUUUGUUUCCAAGUAUUAGACUUCACAGAUUCAAAGCUAGUUCAUGUAGCAAGCAAGGCAUUGUUGAAACUUACCCGUUCAGCAAUGCUUCGAGGAUGUGUGGCGCAACCACGUUUGGCUCUAAUCCUACAAGGAACAGAGUCUUGUAGCUGCAUGUACUUAUCCACUGUUACCAUGUCCGAGGCUGUAGAUGAUGCAUUAGGUAGACUCAAGUGAUGCGAGAGUAACUGCAUUCGAUUCCCAGACUCUCCAUUCUGUUUAAAGCAAAUUAUUAAAUUAGUAAAAUUUAACAUUUUAAAUAUUAAAAUCAUAUCGUUAUAAUAAACUAUGCAUCUAUUAUUAUUUAUUUUAUAUAAUCUAAAUAGAAUUAUACUAAUAUAUUUAACUAAUCGUUUUAUUUGAUUUGAUCGGUUUAUAUACCAAACAAUAUUUUUAUACCGCGGUUUCUUAAAAAUAAUAUUCGUUCGGUAUAUUCAGUAUUACUAAAUACUGUUUUCUCUAUUUCAAUUCGGUUUUAAUUGGUUCGGUAUAUAUAAAUUAAAUAAAUACGUGUGUACCGGUCAAAAUUUAGUAUAAUCUUAAACAUAAUUCAAUACUCUAAACCGGUUUGGUAGUAUUAAACCGGGUUGAGAACCGAGUAGAUACCUGGAACAAUUUGCCGUCGUCCUCUGUUUCUCUUUUGAGAGAUGAUAAGUUAUCAAUGAAGCUGGCGGGAUCGUUCCAAUGGCUAUAUUGAAAACUACUUUCAGAGGCGAUUUCAGGUAUCUGAGAGAGCAUUCCUAGAGAAGAAGGUGGCCUUGAAGAGAGGCUGUUGUGGCGUCUUAACUCACUGGAACUAGAUGGACUCUGUUCGUCUUCUUCGUAGUUCAUCAAACUCCUCACUGAGCCAUAACCUGAGAUUAGAAAAGAGAGUUCGGUGGGUCAUAAAGUGUCGAACUUUAUGGUUUCUGCGCCUAACCUAGUUAAGAGGAUAAUCACUUUCCGGGAAAUUCAGACAAGAUCUUGUCUUACGGCUUUGGUAAUGAUAAAAUUUCAAAUUUUUAAAUAAAUAUUAAAAUGAGUAAAACAGAGCAAAACAGAGCGAAACCGAGAAAAACAGAGUGAAACAGAGCGAAACAGAGCAAAACGGUGAAACAGAGUAAAAACAGGGCGAAACAGAGUGAAACGGUACCGUUUUGAGCAGUUGGGUUCGUGAACAUCUCCGCCGGCGAGCUGCUUUGCCGGAGAAGGUUUGAUUCAACAGGUUUGGUGUGAUGAUCGUUGAGAAACUGAUCCAAACCAAUCGUGUUCAUCAUCCUCUUGCUCUGUCUCGGAUAAUGCGGCGGCAAACCCAGAAAGCUAGACGGCUCAGGCUGCUGCUGCGGCGGCGGAAGAGUGGCGGCGUAUGAAACAGAGGUGACAGGGGACUUAGCCUCGAACUCACUGGGACCAUUAGACCUGGCGAAUCUUGAAAUCAACCUGUCGGAGUCAAGUCCGCUCUUGUUGUCGUCGGCAACGAAAGCGGCGAGAACAGAGCUUGGUGCUGAACGAAAACGAAGUAGACCCGACCCGGAAGAAGGUAUGUGAUUCGGGUCGUAGAGAUGAUUUGAAUCCAUGAAAGCCACGAACUUUACGGGUCUUGUCUCUUAGCUUAUUGAGCUCUGUUUCGUAACGUUUAGGAAGAACAGAGCUGAGGAAACAAAGUCUUCAACUUCAACUUUUAUUUAAUCUUUUUUCUCCUCUCGUAUGGUUCUUGUUGUGUCACUAAGGAGGAGAUAAGAGCUUGAGGAUGUAAGAAAGGAGGUUUGUACUGAAGAAGAAGAACGGUGAACAGAGAAGAGAGAGAGAGAGAUGAAUAUUUAUCGUCUUUUUUUUUCUUCUUCUGAGUUUCUGCGUCCAACUUGAAUUGCUGAAGAUAGCGGCGGAUUCAAAAGCAUAGCAUAAAAAUUAAAUGAGGAAAUAAAAUAAAACAAAAGUACAGAGGAAGACGUCGUUUCGAGCCGCCUGUGAGGUUGGGUCACGGAAAUGCCUUUAAUUUUCUUUUUAAAAAUUAUUACAUUUUUAAAUACUUUUUGGUCUUUAUAGUAAUAUGAAAAAUAUGAAAUGUGGUUAGAAGAGAAUGUAGAGUUUAUUAGAUUGAAAUAAACUUUUUUACUACUCAAGUACAGCAAGAACAUGUGAGGUUAGUUAUCUGCCUAAUCAAUAUUCCUGAGUUUUUACUGGUGGACCCGUGACAAAUUAUUUUCUGAUAUUUCUUUGUUGUUUGUAACCCUACAAAUAUAAAUUCGUGAUACCAUUUUUAUACUAUAAUUGUUUUUUUCUUUGUCAUCCACCGAUUUAGUAUAUACGUCUCCAUAUGCAAAAUUAUUAACAUACAAACAAAAUAAUUGACAUGUGAUCCAGAUAAUUAAAUCGUUAUCAUACGACUGUAUUUGUGAGAAAAGGAGACGAUAAAUCACAGAUUUACUUCGUACGUAGUCAACUUGUGCUGACAAAUCAAAUGUUUUCACAUUCGAAUAUUACGCUAUAAGAUCGUCCAUCAUGAUUGUGUCCCAUCAGAGUACAAAAGAAAAGUCAGAAGUUGGAUCUUCAGCAUAUGGUUAAAACACAAAACAUCCUUUUAAUGGAAAGAUAAUUGUCGGAAGUACAGUUUGUAAAUAAGAGUCAAAACUGCAACUACUUUUCCAGCAAGAUGAAAGUAACUUUUCGAGUCCAAUUUAGGGUUCACGGAACCUACGCAGCUUCUUCUACAAGAUCGUGACGUUGAUACGUUGGGAACGCAAGUUGGUGGCGUCUAACGAGGAUUGGUGGAUGAAUAUAAUGAACGUGACAUACGGUGCGCCUGCAUGAAGAUCAAUGAUAGAAACACUUUAAUAAAUCUCAUUGGUCAAUGAUGAUACAAUGAUGUCACUAAGUGUGAAACUAUGGACCUCGUCCGCCGCCGUCGUUAAUUUGGCGCACCUCUUAUCUAUAAAUCUUAUCUUUAUUUAACUUUUAUAUUUCUGACUUUUUACUCUAUAUGCACCCGUUUAUUCUCUUUGGAGUUUUUAUUUCAUUUUUGUUAUAUGGGAACUACCGUUUAUGUGCCUAUAUAUGGUUGGUUAACUGGAUAGAGACAUAGAUCGAUGAGUUGGAGUAGCUACACAAUUUUUAAAACUCGAGCUGUUUCUUUGUUAAUCAACAAAAAGCCAAAUUUUGUAUGCACAAGCACAUGCACCCAUUCAUGCAUAGGUAAUAGACGAAGUUCGUAGCGCACAUAGUUUACUAUGAAAAUUAAUAAUCAUCAUAAUAAAACAAGAAGAAAUGUCUCUAACAUAAUGUAAAUCUCUUUAUAAAAAAUAUUCUACAAUUAUCAGAAAGAAACAACGAAAGGAGAAAAAUAUAAGAGCAAAGCUCGUCCGUGGAUGAGAACACGUGAGACCCCAUUUAGCUUUCUCUAUGUUGUAUAGAUUUUAUCAACUUACAGUUUUAUAUAUUAAAAUAAUUUGAUUCCCCGUCAAUUUUUUUAAAGUAUUUAUGUUCUGAAAAAAAAGAUUACAUUGAUAGAAGUGGGGAAUCGUUCGUGGUCCAGCUUCGGCUUUUAUAAUGUCAACAAGUUUAAAAAGGGAGCCUCUCUAUAUUAGUUUUUUAAUAAGAACUUCUAUAUUAAGCAAGUGUUUCUCUAUUUGUUUAUUAAGUUUCCUCGAACGGGCUGCUAUAUUUGGAAGUUAUCAAUCGUGCUUGGGCGAGAUAUGUUUUCCCAUGAAAGAUCUCUCUUUGCCGUUUUUACUCUUUCGUCUCUUUUAAUAUUAUAAAAGAAAGUAAUACAUACUUUUUGUUGCGAAUUUGAACAAAGGACCAACGGUGGGGUGUGAUCAUGUUUGACGGCCUGACAAAAAUUAUAUUCGAAAACAUGUAAACGCUAAAGAUGGGCUCAGACCCUCAGAAUUCAUUUCUGAUUCAUAUAUGUGUGUGUGCAUGUAUAAACUGACCUUCAUGCGCAAGAACCAUGCAAUCAUGCAGUUGAGUUUUUCUUCUUCUGUUAACUACUUUUUGGUUACAAAUUAAAGAAAACGUAUAGUAUAGAUUAGUACACUUCCACUAAAAAGCAUCGAGUUUUGUAAUCAUACAUCUUUUUUACUAAAAAAAUCUAUGUACAUAGUUAAAAUCGAAUCUCGGUUCCGACCAAUCAAACAAACGAUUGAAAUACAUGUAUAAUUAAUAAACCCACUUGCCACUUGGUUAUAAUAUACUGAAAAAAUGGGAUGAGAUGAUAUAUCCUCAUGCAAAGAUAAGCAAGUACAGUCAACAUAUUUUGUAUUUUAAUAUAUACUUUAAAGUUUGAUUAUUGAAACAGAUCUUUAUCAUAUUCGUUAUCUUAUAAGAUUCUAGAUGGCGAGACAGAAGAAGCCCAUGACACAACCAAACACUCUUCCUUAAGACACAAGGUACUUGUGAUGAUAAACAAAGCACUAAACUCUUCAUUUAAGCUCGCCAUAAAAUUACAUAGCACAACCUUUUGCCUGAAGUUAGCAUACACAUUUCCUGGCUCAUGCACUGAAGGUUUAUACCGUUUUGAUUCGACCUAAACUCUCAGACACAGAUCUCAUCCUAGGACGCAUCUCUGGAUCCAUAUUCGUGCAGUUCAAAGCGACACGAAUGGCUGCAAUAACUUGCUUAUCAGUUAACUCUUGGUUCAAAAGCUUGGGGUCUAAGAUCUCGGCCAACGAUCUCCCUUCCUUGUGCCACUUCCUCACAACACUAACGAGUUCCUCUCCUUCGUUCUCAGAUGAGCCAUCAGGUAAACGACCAGUCAACAACUCCAAGAGAAUCACACCAAAGGAAUAAACAUCGCAUUUCUGAGAUGAUUUGUAACCGGAAGAAGCUCUGGCUUCGGGUGCAAGGUAAGCAGCUUGAGGAGGAGCUGAGAGUCUCGUCGCAAAGCUUUGCACGUUGGUGGAUAGUGAAUGAUCUGGUAGUUUGGGAUACCCCUGAACCAGACGUGUGAGACCGAAGCCUGAGAUGUGAGGAAGUAACUCAUCAUCUAACAAGACUUUGCUUGAUUUUAGGUUGCCGUGUAUAUACUUUCUUGAACUGUAUUCAUGUAUAUACAUCAAACCCCGAGCAGUCCCUUGUGCUAUGUGUAACCUCUCAGCCCAAGAGAGCAGAGGCCGUGUAUUCGGAGGCCCACCUACAAUACAAAAACACACACAGUCAACUUUGUGUCCUAAUCUUAAACACAUCUCAUUACAUAAUCAAACAUAUCACAUGCAGCGUACCAUAUGAAAGAAUAAAUCAAUUUUACGUCACAUUAUACACUCUUUCAGUAGAAACUACCAUUAAUUUCACCUCAACGACUAAUGUUACUACAUUGCUUAAUCUUAUUACAUGAACUCCAUAGAGAACCAAAUAUGUUUUUUUUUCUGGCAGAUAUAGAGAGUCCCCAUGCUUUACACAUGUCAACCAAGAAAGCUUUAAAAAAUAAACCAACAAGGAGAAGAAGCCAACAUUAGUCACACUAUACCACAGUGACACUGUCACACACAGAACAAAAAGCUCCGCAAUUUCAGACCAAGACUAUUGACUCUAGUUUCAAAAAUUAUGUUCAACACAUGUAAACAAAGAACACUUUAAACAGUAAACACAACAAGGAGAAGAAGCCAACACUAGUCACUAUACACAACAGUCACACACCAAAACAAAAAGCUCUGCACUUUCAGACCAAAGAGCAUUGAUUCCCAAAAACAUAGUUUCAAUAAAUAUGAUAAUUAGUGGUAUAUAAAUGAAUAUUAGUAUUAAAUUUAAGAUUAGUGUUUUUUACCAUGCAAAGCAGAAUACAAGCUUCCAUUGCUAAUGUAAUCAGUGAUGAGUAGCUUCUCAUCCUCCGCAUAGUAAUAAGCUCUCAGCCUUACGAUGUUAGGGUGGCUGACCCUACCGAUGUUCUCCACUUCGUUCUCAAACUCCUUAAACCGCCACGUGGCGUUACCGUCGCUGAGCCUUCUAACCGCUACAACGGCCGCGAAGGAGGAGGACGAUGGUUCCGCCUCCGCCGCCACGACUCUGUACACGAUCCCGCUUCUGCUCUUGCCCAUCACGUAAGCCGAAGCUCUCAGCAAAUCCUCGAGCUCAAGCUCGAACCCUUCGCCAAAGGCUACAAAUUUACCGUCUUGCUCUUCUUCAUCAAACUCUGAGACCACCGUCUUCGGCUCUGCUUUGUACACGGCGGAGGAGCUAUGUUUUCUCCGGAUCAGCCAUACCGAGAGAGAAACAGCUCCGAUCACGACGGAGACUCCUGAGAUCAAUGAGACCGUUACAGAACCGGUGGUCUGUUUCUCCUUUCCCUCUUCCUUGCUGAUCACGCUAGGGUUUGGUUUCUGGAGUUCUUGAGUUCCUUCCGGCUUCACAGCGACGAGGUUAGGGAUCUCGAGCUCUUGACACGGUGUCUGCAACGGGAAGCCACAGAGACGAGAGUUUCCGGCGAACGCGAACGGUCCUUGGUUCAACAGAGAGCCCACCUGAGGUACUUUUCCGGUGAGGUUGUUGUGGCUGAGAUCCAAGGUGACGUGGAGAGGUAACCGACCGUACGACGGUGGAAUCUCUCCGGCGAAUCGGUUAAACGAGAGGUUUAGAGUUCCGGCGAGGCUUCCGAGUUCGGCGAGCGACUCGGGAAGUGAGCCGUUGAGUCGGUUAGAGGAUAAAUCGAGAUGGUUUAGUGAUUUUAAGUGGCGGAUUUGGUCUGGGAUUGGACCGGAGAGUGAGUUGUGGGAGAGAUCGAUGUACCGGAGGUUAGUUGGUUCGAAGAGGCGAACCGGUACCGGUUUGGAGAAAUUGUUGUGAGCUAGAUCGAGCCGGUUAAGCGAGUCGAGUAAACCGAGUUCUGAGGGGAUGUAACCGGAGAGACUUUUGCCGAAGAGGUUGAGUGAUGUGACUCGGCCGUUUGUACAGGCGACUCCGGACCAGUGGCAAGGAGUUUGGUCGGAUUCGGACCAGUGGUUCAUUACUUUGGUCGGGUCGUUGUCCACGGCGGAUUUGAGAGCGAGAAGAGAUAAACCGUCGGAGUUGAGAGAAGAGCAAAGGGUCAUGCAGAGAGAGAUGGAAGAAACAAGAAGAGGUAGAAUCCAACGAAACUUCAUUCUCUUGAAAUCGUUUUUCUUUGGUUCGUGUAGUGAUGCAACGAGAUGUUGCAGAGAAAGAGGAUCAACAGUGAAGAAAAGGUUUAGAUUCUUUUAUGGUUGCAUUGUAGCAACGUGGAGUAAAGUAGUCAUGAUCACAAAUUUUGAAUUUCUUGAGCGCAUGAUCAUGUUUGAAAUUAUAACAAUAUAAUAUGGAUUUAAAUAUAUUAUAUAGUAUUGGGAUUCGCCUUUUUGGAUUCUAAUGUGUGUUUUUCAAUUGCAUAAAUUGUUAGUUUAUUAGUUGAAUAAUGCAAGUGGGAUCUUGUUACAAGGUUCAAAGUUUUAUCCGCGUUGAUGAUAACUAGGAUCGUUGGAUUUAUAGGAUAAAAAGACAAGGAAAAGGCUAACAUAUAGUUUACUACUUACUACUUAGUACAAUAUAUUGAAUUUUAGAUUGCGAAUCUUUAAACUGCGAUGAUUUGAAUUUGUAUGUGAGAGAUAAGUGUAUACAAUUAGAAAACGAAGCAUAAUACAUCUUAUAUCAAAUUAUCAAUGGACAAUAGUAUAAUAAGCAAUCUAUCUGAAGAAAUAUUAGUUUUCUAAGUUAUACUUUUUGUUUUGUGUUUGCCAUUACCCAUUAGUUAUCUUAAAUGCCUAGAAUCUUAACACAUGUUAGACCAUCUUGAGCCAUGAAACAAUUGUACAGUCCUACUGAACCUAUAUUUAUCUUACUUUAUAUAUCAGUUCAGUACUUUAAAAUCGUAAGCACAUGUUAGAUAAAAAAUUGAAACUAAUCGACCCCUAGUGGUUAUCUUAUCAUGAAGGGUGACGUUUUUAUAUAAGUACAUGUGCUGACGUUUUAGAUUUCAUUCAAAUUAAAGGGAGGAAAAGACUGGGAGACAGUAAUUGAUUGUGUCAGAUCAAAUUUUUAACCAACCGACAAAAGUCACCUGCCGAACAUGCAUUUGCAAGAUGCCACUUUACUAUAAUCUCAGUUCUAAGGGUCCUUUCGUAAUUAAAUAGUCUGAAAAUCAACAGUUACCAUUUAUUGCAACUAGAUUCAGACAUUGGGCUUGGGCCGACGUUAACAAAAAAUCAAACAUAUUACUCUAUAACUUCUUUAAAUUAAUAUUUUAUAAAUUAAUAUACGCUAAAAAUUUUAAUAAAAUAAUAUAAUUUUAUAAUCUCAAAUUAAGUUUUUGAUUCAAUUAGUAUAUUGAUAAAUAACAUCUCUAUAAAUUAAUAAAAAAAUAUAGUUUUGGUGUAGUUCUAACAUUAUUAAUUUAUAAAUGUUUCACUUUAUCUACCGGAAACAAUGCCAUUGUGCUAGUUAUGAUUUAUGAACUCAUUGACAUCAAUUUCAAAAUACUCAUAUUGAAUACUUAUGCUCAGUGUUCUAAAAAUAAAAAUCUGUCUAGGUAUUUCAGGCUAUGGAUUUGAUCUGAGCCGCUGAAAAAUUCAAAAUUCCAGAAAACACUCAUACCAAACCCAAUUUCAAUUUCAAAUAAGUACACAAAAUACUAUAAGAUUUCAUUGAAUACUUAAAAUAAGUAUAUAUUAUAUAAAUAAAUAACCUAAAUAUUUAGUCUAAUAUAUUUUGGUAUAAGGUAUUCUUCCUUCUUCUACAUAGUCAAAUUUAUCGGGUUAGAUGUGUUUUCGCUCCGGUUUAUCAGAAAUGAUGUGUUUGAACAUAGUUUUUAAAUUUUUGUUUUUUAAUUUUAUUGUUUUUAAUUUCACUUGUCGAAAAUUACAUUAGAAUUAAAAAAGAUUUUGACAAAGUUUUUUCUCAAUUCUUAUUUCUUGAUUUCUAUAUCUGUUUCAUUGGAUCUUUAUUUGGUUUUAGGAUUUAAAUAAGUACAAAACCGUUUUUUAGAAAUAUUAUUAAAAUUUGAACCGUAUCUGACUAAACUCGGACUGAAUCUGAACCGAACAUUUAUAAUUUCCAAAUGGGGCUGAUUCAUAAAUCCAAAACUUGAUUAAACCUGAAACAAAAGCCGAUUGGUUAUUUGAAUGCCUAAACCUAAUUUUAACGCUAAACAAAAGCUUUAGGAGGUGUUAUUGGUUUAUAUAUUUUGAUUAAUUUAGAAAUCCAUAUAGUAUUUAUAAAUCCAAGUAAAAUAUACAAAUCCGGAGGUUUUCUCUCGGAUUUGAGUUUUUGUAUUUUUAACAGAAAAAUCCAAGCAAAUCCAUUCAAAUCCAUUAUAAAAUCAAAUAUAUUAGUAAAUCUGUGCGAUUGAAUAACACUUGAUUUGAUAUAGAAUUUAUGAAUCAUUAAACCAAUAACACAUAAUUUUAAUACAGAUUUGAAAAUCAUAGAACCAAUAACACUAAAUUUAGUUCGGAUUUUCAAAUCUAUAAAAAUACAACAACCAAUAACCCCUACUUAUAAAUCGCUAAGACGGCCCAUUUUCAGAACCAUGCAACUUGAAUGGUUUUCGAGGUUCGUAUGUGGGCAUUAUGCACCCCAAAGUAAUUUUUGUGUCAUAAUAGUGAAAGUCCAUUAUUCCAAAUGACAUUUGGAAAACCUAAAAGCCCACUAAGCAUCUAAUUAUUUAUUAGUUCGUGUGUUUUAGGGAUUCCUGUUUUUUAUUACAGAAUCAGAACGGCUGUCUCCAUUGAAAUAAAUUUAGAUCUCAGACCUUCUCCAUGGAUAAGACAGCGAGCGUAGCUAUGGAUAAGGAGGUAGUGCCUUUGCCCGUGGUAAACAAGGAUGAAAAGUCCCGCCUUGACCCCACUGCAGUCAGAGAAGCCAUUGCUGUGAUUCUUGCUCAGUCAAAGUUGCGUUCCAAGGAUAAAGCUACGAAGGUGUUGGUCGAGCACGAUUCGCCAGCCGGUGAUGGUAGCAAGCCAAGUAUCUAAUCAUGGACCUAUUAGAUUGAAUAUCAAAACCCAUGUUUCGUUUUUUUUUUCUUAUUUCUUAAAAAUAAUGUAACUCUCCAAUUUCCGGUUUGAACCAUUUGAUUUCUUCAUACAGAAAAUUAAAUUGUUGGUUUUUAUUCAAAUGUAACAUAGAGAGUAGAGAGGAGGUUAUUGCAGCCAUAUCAUGCAAGACCUUUACACCGACAACGUAACCACAAAAGACACAUAGGUUACAUCCAUAAUAUUGACGUGAGGAAAGAACGUGGUAAGAAGAAGAGCAGGAGUGUUUUAUGGCAAUACGACGUCGUAUAAGAGUAUGAGCCCAUAAUCUUUAACCGACUAGUGCGGCCAAUUCGUUUCGGUUAAACUAAACUAGAACCGUACUGGUAAAACCGAUUUUAAAGCCAAACCAUAACCAAAAUGAAAACUGAGGAAAGUAUGACUGAACCACCUCUCAUUUACCGAACACAGAAAAGAUUCAUCAAUUUGGUUUUUAAAUCUAUUAGACCGGAAAAUAAACCAAAACUGAAAUUAAGCAAUAACCGAUCUGGUUAAACUCCCAAUUAAACCGAAAUUGGUAAUAUAGCUGACCACUAAUGGAAAAUAAACCAAAAAACUGAAAUCAAGCAAUAACCGAACCGGUUAAACACCCAAUUAAACCGAAAUUGGUAAUAUUGCUGACCCACUAAUGGGAAAUAAACCAAAACAAUUGAAAUCAAGCAAUAACCGAACCGGUUAAACUCCCAAUUAAACCGAAAUUGGUAAUACUGCUGACCCACUAAUGGGAAAUAAACCAAAAAAAUUGA
rnacentral:lncRNA from 1 species